rnacentral:lncRNA from 1 species
GAGGAGCAGAAAUUACCGGCGGGGGAUGGUAAUUGCAACCGUUCGAGAAUUUACAACUUGGUGUGGGGAAUGUGCGAUAUCAUAUGAUAGUCUUCUCCUCUGUAACGUUCUUCUAGAAUAGGACAUCCCCUAAUACUCAAUUCCUGCAGUGUCGUCGUUUGAAGAAGGUGAUCUGGCAGCACAUUUAAUUUGGGGCAGCAAUCAAUUUCCAAGGAAGAAAGACGCGGCAUGAUGGAGAUGUUUUCCUUCCUCGUAACCCUGUAAUUCCACUCUUCCAAUUCAUCCAAGUCCUCAAUUUUGAGUGAUUUCAAUUUGGAGAAGGCAAUAACUGAUGAAGAUGAAGAUGUGUCAUCAACACUACUCUCUUCUAUUCCCAAAAACUCAUCACCCACUCUUUUUACACUAAUCAAAUUGUAUAGGGUGAGUUUUUCCAGAAGCAAUUUUCCCAGUGGAGGCAAAUGCUCACAGUUAACGCACGAGAAGAGUUUUAGUUCCCUUAGAUUGGUUAGCAAAGUCAACCAUUUGGGAAAAAUGUUGCCUCCGUAGAAUAUAAUCCAUAAUUCCUCUACAUUCAAAGGCGGUUGUAAGGCUUCAAGAAGUUGUUUAUCUUUCUCAUUCUUCCUCCUCCCUUCUUCGCCUUCCCCAUCUACGACUCUACCAAACUCAAGAUGCAAACGAAGGAGGUUUUUCUUAUUGUAAAGUUGUAACCUCUCAGCCUCAUCUACAUGCGAUACAUUACUCAGCCCUUCUACUCUACAUUCACGAAGGAGUUGAAGAUUUUUCAGAGAUUCAAGCCUACACGUGCUGCCACCAUCAACACCUCCACCCACAACAAACUUUUCUAAUGUUCGAAGGCUGGUCAAUCUGGAAAUCCCUAUUGGCAGGUACUUCAGCUUUUCAGUUUGACCAUUCAUUAAACUCCUCAUGUUCAUUAACUUUCCAAUCCCCCCAGGCAAUUCUCUAAGAUUUGUACACCAUCUAACAGCUAGCUUUUGUAAAUUAUAUAAUUCACACAAAGUCUCAGGCAGUCUCUCUAUACAUAAUUCAGAUAAAUUAAGAUAUUUUAAAUGUAUCAAUUUUCCAAUAUUUUCUGGAAUUUCUCUAAUGAAAUUUUUGUCAUCUAAGGGUACGAACCAUUGCCUUAUAACUAGUGCCCUUAAACAUGCCACUUUACUAAAUAACUCCACAAGGAUGCUGCCAUUAAGAGACGGACUGUAAGGACUUAAAUCAUAAAUUAAGAGGGUACGCAAUCUAUUAAAUUCAGGAGUGGACAUAGGAAAUGAAGCUCCUCCUUCAAAGUUUAACCCUAAGUGACGGACUUUCUCACCAAAAGAGUUUAUGACUGAUUCUUUCCUACUGUUAAUUUCUACCCACAAACAUUCUUCUCUAGUUACAAGUUGGGCAAAAUCAUGUACUAUGUCAUGCAUCUUGCAACUCAUAACAUUAUCAUCAUAAUCUUUCACAAACUCUUGAAAGAAAGAGCGUGUUGCUAAAAUGUUGAAAUACUCUUCUCCAAUAAUCUCCAUCUCUUCAUCUUCUUCUGAAUUAAGGUAACAUUGAGCCAUCCAUAGUGUAAUUAGUUCAUCUUUCCUUAUAUUGUAGUCUUUUGGAAAGACAGAACAAUAUGAGAAACAUCGUUUUACCAUAGAAUUGGAGGGCAAAUCGUGAUAGCUCAAUAACAAAGGAGGCAAAAGACCUUUCCCAAUCUCUUCCACCUUCCACAUUUCACUAUCUAAAAUUCUUUGCCACUCGCUUACUGUUCUUUUAGAGCGCAACAGAUUCCCAAUUACCUUUGCAGCAAGAGGCAAGCCUUUGCACUUACAUGCAAUUUUUCGUCCGAUUGGUUCUAAUUUUUCACAAUCCUCAAAGGACCUACCUAGAAAUGCUACCUGCUUAAACAGUGACCAACAUUCCCCUUCACCCAACUCCUUGACAGAGAUAAUAUCUAUUGAUCCCAUUUGGAGUGCAACUGACCUAUCACGUGUGGUAAUUAGAAUUUUACUCUCAUGGUGGCCAUUCUUUAGACAAGAAAAGAACGGGUCCCAUUUUUUGUAAUCUCCAUCCCACACAUCAUCCAAAACAAGAAAAAAUUUCUUCCCCCUAAUAGAUUCCUGAAUCUGUUGCAUAAGAGAUUGGAAUUCGCCUAAACUAGAAGCAGAUUUGUCUAAAACCUCAAGAAUUGCUUUAGCAAUCCUAAUCUCCUCAAAAGCGUCUGAUACACACACCCAUAUAACUAUGUCAAACUUUCUUUUCACCCCCUCAUUGUUGAAGGCUAGUUGCGCAAGGGUUGUUUUACCUAUACCCCCUAACCCAAACAGUGAGAUGAUACGAAGGCCUUUUUGUUGUUCGCUACUCUCACCUAACAACUUGCUCAUUUUUCUCGUCAAUUCUACCACAAAUCUCCCCCUCAUCAACCAAGGAGGUGGUUCGCACUCGCUCUGGCUUCUUGACAUUGUUACUCACAUUCUCAGCAAAUUUAAACCUAUCUUUUUGAGAGGUAAUAUCAUCCAGCGUUUUAUUGAUUUCUCUAAUCUUGACAGCAAUGUCAUGACGAAGACUGAGUUGUUUGAAACUACCGAAGCAGUUUGAGGCAGAAGGAAAGAAGGAACAUACCUUCUUCUUAUGAGCAGCAAGAGCAAGAGUAUUGUCAUCGUCAAGGCCCUCAAUCUGCAAUUUGAGCCUUGCAGUGGUCCACUCCUCCAACACAUCUUCCAUGUCGUAAGAUGCGUCUUUGAGCUGAUCCAGCCAAAAAGUAACAGCUUUGUCGUGCUGCAUUUGCCUUUUCUCUGCAUCUUCCAGCACAAGUUGAAUGGCUUGAAGAUUGCUGGUAAGCUUUUUCACUUCUUCUCGGACACCAGUCACAAGCCUCACCUGUUGUUUCACUUCAUCAGCCGCAACAGAGAUCAGCUGCUCCAUGAGAGAGGAAACGAUCGCAUCAACCAUUCUGACAAAGAAGACGAGAAUUCUGAAGAGUUAUUAGAUGUGCUUUUGUUGCGAUGAUACUGAAAGAAAAGGAGUUAUUGCAUUCUUUUAUAAUGCAUAGAAAAAGUUUAUGCUUAUCCCCACCCCACACGUCAAUGAUUGUAGAAUGUUUAAUUUCCCUGAUUCUACUCCACUAGUUGUGAUGCGUAAUUAUAAAUAUUCUCAAAUUAUAUAUGAAAUAGCACAAAUUUGGAUCUAGUAAUGAUUUAUAUGAUUUCUGUGUGUUCACUUUUCCGUAAUCUUCUACUAUAAGGGUUCAGAUUUAAUUACUAAUUUAAAAAAUAAGCACAAAAUAAUAUCAAGCAUUAAUGUUAUUAGUAAUACUCAAAUUCACAAAGGAAUAAAUAACGAAAAGAAAAAAGAUUGGAAAAAUCAUAUUGGUAAAUUAGCACAUUGUUUUUUUAAUAAUCUCAAUAAAAUUAGUAAUACUCAUAUUAGUCCCUAAAACAUUAUUAUGUAUAAGUUAAAAAAUCUUAUUAGUCUCCAUGAUCAAUAUUUAUGGAAAUAUUUUUGGCCUAGGCUGAGAAAAAAAUUCCUAGUUUCAUCACUAGUUAACCUCAAGUAUACAUCCCAUAUACACACACACACACAUUCCUUCUCGAGUGUGGGCGCCGUCAUUUUUUUUUUUUAUAUGAACACACUUUUAAGCCACAUGGCUUAAUAGAGUUAAUUUUUUAAUGCUAUUAAACCACGCGACUUUAAAGUAUAUUGAAAAUUAACUCUAUUAAGUCGUAUGAUUUAACAGAGUGUCUGCAUUAAAAAAAAGAAAAAAGAAAGAGGUUACAUAUAUAUGCGGGAAAGGUCUAAGAACUUUUCUGUACUUUAAAAUUUUGGAUUAAAAAAUUUAUAUAUAUAUAUAUAUAAAGAGUAAUGAUAUAACCACAAACUCUUGUACAAAUUUAUUUUGUACAAACUGAUGUAGCGUUAAUCUAUUGGUUGAAUUAAAUAUCUCUUGGCCCACAUGAUUUAUUUAUAUUAUUUUAUAUUUUCAUUCAACCAAUGAAUUAAUGAUACAUCAGUUUGCAUAAUAUAAGUUUGUACAGUAGUUUAUGACUGUAUCAUCACUCAUAUAUAAAUUCUCUCCCGCAUACAUCCACGCAAAAUAGAGUCCGAAUUUGACAUUUCACAGUCUUAAGAAAAUAACUUUCACCACUGCAAAACUAUCAACGAUGGCUUAAAACACUAUGCUUACAUGUUUCAUGUGGAAAUCUAUGAAGAGAUAACGACUAUAUAUAUAUAAACAUAUCUUAAUUUCUAAUAAGAUAUUAGCCAAUGUUUAAUCAACAUUUAUGCAAAGGGGUCCCCCCUCUUUAUUUGGAGGAAUUUGGCACCAGAUGAAAAAUUUAUGCUUAUCCCCAACCCAUACGUUAGUAAUUGUAGUAGCAUCUUUUAAUUUCCCUGAUUCUACACCACUAGCUGUCGUACAUAAUUAUAAAUAUUCUCAAAUUUGUCGCAUCUUUAAAGUAUGAACACUGGUUUUGUCCAUGUCACUUUUUCUAUCUUAUUGCAAUAUGAGGUAGACGAAUUCAGUUUCUUCAAGAUAUGGGAAACGAUCGCAUCGGCCAUUCUAAUAUUAGAUUAAAUGCUAAAUGUUACAAUUGUUUUUGUUGCGAAAAUGCUCAAAAGAAAGUAGCUUUUAUGAAUUCUGUGAGAAUGCUCAUUCAAGCAUUUUUUAAUUCUUCUUAUACUACAUGAAACAUUGAAUUUUUACCCUUGAGUCAAUGUCAAUGAGAAUGCUUUUGUGCUGGAAAUCAAAGGAGUCCCCAAAGGAGUCAUCGUCUGGGGCUAGCUUUCUGCACCACCACGUCAAUAAUGGUCUAGAUCUCCCCUGUUUCUCUGAUUCAUAAUAAUUGUGCAGACUACUUUGCAUCAGCAUUCGUAAAAGUUCUUACUUUUCUAAUUAGUAACAAAAUAUUUGUAAGCUACAACAUAAAACUUAUAGCAAUCUAUCGAUGAAUCUUCUGAAUUCAUAUUUAAUAAAUUCGAUAUAAUAUAGUCAUUAGUUUUUUAUUAUAAACAUCAGUAUAUUUUUUAUGAUAUAACAUAUAUUGAUGAAACUAUAUAAAGCAAUUUCGCCCUAUUAUAUAAAUUCAUUAUGAAUUUCAUCACAAAUUUGUAUGCGAUCGGGACCGUGCAAGUGAGAUUUCAGAUAAAAUCAUCUCCUGACAAUUUAUUUAAUAUUUUACUUUUCAAUUUAGCUUUAACGUAUGGCCGACAACUUUUGUUAUCCGGAAGGCCAAAUCAGUAUCAUAAAGUAGUGAAUCUGUUUUAGUCCACAGUCAAUACAUAACUUCAUUAUGUUUGCAUGUCAUGAUAAAAUGAGAAUUGUUAAAUAUAAUUUAGUAAUAAAAUUACUAUAAUAAUAAUUACUAUUAUUAAUAUAAUGAUUAUAAAUAAUAUCAAUAAUAAAAAUUUUAUUAUUAUCAAUACUACUACUAUUAUUAUAAUAAUAAAAUAAAAUAGUACUAAUUAUUUUGAUAAUAGUAAUUAAUAAUAAUAAUAACAAUAAUAAAAAUUAUCAUCAUCAUCAAUAAAUUUUUCAUAAUAAUAAUAAUAUAUAAAGAAGGAAAAAAUAAGAAUUUUAAAAUUUGAGUGGGAGUAAUAUUGUUACCUCAGGAAAUGGGAUUCCCAUUUGCACCUCCUCCCAUAGGAAUGUGAACUCUAGUAAUCACUCCUUAUUUUAGUUUGGGCCAAUCACUUUUAUUCAAAUUCCUUCUCUCAUUCAAUCAAGUAAACAUAUCAUUAAUUUAAUUCCGAUUACCAAUAAGUAAACACAUUUAUUAUAGUGGUGAUGCCUUUUUUUCUUAUAUAAAGACAAAUGCAAAUUCAUCGGAGUCAUUUUCAAAUAAGGGUUUCUAUAAAUAAUUUUCUUUUUUAAACUAAGAAAAGAUAGCAUAUUGUCACGGACCACUCAAAUUUACCACUAAAGGAGGCCAAACUAGCCUGCCAAGGUGAGCUCAAUAAAAGACUGCCCAAACACGAAGUAUGCUAAGUAGAAAGGUGCGCUCAAUCCAAAACCCAAGGUAACCAAGUCCAAUCCAAUUUUAGAAAUCUCUACAAUACAAUAGCAACUGUAAAUAUCUAAAUAAUUCUACAGUUGCGUACUCUAGAACUUAGUAGAUAACUAGGCAAGUUACGCAAGUUGCAUAGAACUCUCUAGAUCUAGGCAAGCCUCCCUAUAAAUAGGGCAUGGCAUCCACCAUUUUGCACGACACCACACACCAAGCAUAAGUAGAUCAAGCAUACUUGUAAUGCUCUCUUGUAUUCUCUCUUUCAAGUAAUAAAAUUCGUUUUGGCUACAUUGCUCUCUUCUCUCCAGCUUUUUUGCAAUCAUCUUUUCUUAGCUAGUUUGAGAAGUUCGAUAGGUUUAAUUAGCAAUUUUUGUGCUAGAAGUUAUUUAAGUGUCACAUGGAUUGCUGUGCAAAUUAUUUAUGCCGUGACAAUAUGUUAUGAUUAUUAUGAAUUUUCCACCACUUUAUAUAAAAUCCUCUAAUUUAUUUAAAUUGUGAGUCAUAGAAGUAUAUUACCCAAAUUGUUCUAUUAUCAUAUUAAUAUAAUAUUUUUGUGUUGACACUUGUAAACAAUUGAAAAGUUUUGUUUUACUAUAAAAGUGUAGCAUCUCUGCAUGUAAUAUCAUCUCAUUUUUCCUCAAACAAUAUUACUAGCAAGAGAAUGGAAUUAGAAUUCUCCAUCUCAAAGUUUAAGUUGUUGGUUAUCAACACUUUCUUCAUGUUCUUUGUAUAGUUUAGAUACUUCCUAAUUAGAUUUGCAACAUGUUAUCAAGACAACUUUACUUUGAUUCAAGAAAGUACUCAAUUUCCUAUGCUCUCAUUUCAUAUGUUUAUUUACCAACUCUAUACUUAUACGUAUGUUUUAUAGUCACUAUUGAUUUAGAGUUACAUCAAAUAAAAAAAAAAAGGUGAGUGAUCUUCUAUUCUUUUAUGUAGGACAUUAAUGGGGUGAGAUGGGGGUGGAGAGGCCUACCUCAUUACCCACCCCAUUAAAAGUUUUACCUUUAUUCCUCAUCCCAUUUCCCAAUAAAAUUCAGUGGAGUGGGGAUGAAGAAUUCUCAUGUGAGGAAUGAUUUAUCUAUUCCUACCCUAUUCUCCAUUUACUUAUUUUAUAAUAGGUAUAGAUAAAUGAUUUCAGUAAAUUAAAAAUUAAAAACUUAAAUAAAUUUAUUAUCAUAUUACAAAUGAUUUAAAUUGUUUUAAAAAAUCUCCAAAAGGUUGAAAUAAUAUCUUGAACUAAUAUUAAAAUUAAAAAAUGUUUGAAGAGUAUAGUAUCUUAAGAGGAAAAAGAAAACAUAAGAAUGCCUUUAGGGUUAAAUAAGUAUUAUAAUGUAGGGUUUUCUUUUAGUUAUAACUUAUUUAUAUUAGGUAAAUAAAAAGAAAAUUUAUUAACCAACAUUUUAAUUGAUAAAAUAAAAUUAUUGAAUAAAAACUAAAAAAAUAUUCAUUUAUAAUAGGAAUUGGGGUGGGGAUGGGGUAGGAAGUACAAAACCAACCCCACCCCAUUAAGAAUUUGAAAAUUAUUUUUUCCUCAUUCUCUACCCAUUCUUCAAAAAUUAUUUAAAAUUCACCUCAUUUAAGGUGGAGACUAUCCUAUCAGUACUUUCAUGGCAUGAAAUUAUUAUGCUCCGUGAUGAUUAUUGAUUUGUCUAAUUUUAGAUGAGUUAUUAUUUUGGAGAUCAGUGCUUUUGCUGCUAUGCUGAAAGAAAAGGAGCUAGAUUAUUCUUCUUUAUACUGCAUCAUAAAAUAUUUACUAAUAGUCGAUAUUCUAUCAACAACUAUGCAAAGGAGUCCCUACUGAAAAGCUGAAUUUAGAAUUCAAUGAAAGUUUUAAUCAUUGUAGCAUCUGUAAUUUUCCUGUUUCGACUUCACACUUUGUGUUACAUAGUUGUUAACUAUAAUAUUCUCAAAUAAAUUUGCAGUGGUCGGGCCCGUGCCAGUCAAAAAGAGAAAAAAUAAAACAAAAGUUGGAAAAUCAUGCAGCCGACCACUACAAAUUAAUUUAAAAAAAGUAGUGGAAUAUUAGGUAGGCGAAUGCGGUUCAUCGUUCAUAGGUCAUUUAAGAAAGUAAUCGCGCCCUAAUUAUUUUUUUUCUUUUAUCUAAUCAAGAAAAUGUAGCAUAUUUUUUUUAUUGAUUUGCAAUUCUUUAAAAAAAAUGAAUGAUUGAUAGAUAAUAUUAAUUUUUUAAGUUAUUUUAAUUAUUAAAAAAACUAUUACAUAUUUUAUUUAUAAUAUUAUAUUCAUAUUUAUUAUAGAACUGUAUUUUAGGUAAAUUUUAGUUGCUGUGUUUGAAUGAAUAGAUACUUAUUUAAUUCUUAUAUUUUAAGUUAUAUUCACGUUUAAUCUUUAUAUUUUAAAAAAAUAUGAUAGGACUCCCCUGAUGUUAAUAUCUUACACUAUCCUGUUCUUACCUUUUAUUUCCUUUUUGUUUAUUUUUUGUUUCCUAGCUUUUUACUCCACCACAUCAAUAAUUGUAUAGCUUCUCUGAUUCAUAAUAAUUAUGCAGACUACUCAGCAUCACCACUUGUAAAAUCUCUUAUAUUUGUAUUUCGCAAGUUGCAGCGCUUAAGAUAAGUAAUAAAAUAUUUGUAAACGACAACAAAAAGCUUUGAGCAAUCUAUCUAUGAACAUUCUGAAGUUUAAUAUAGUAUAUUAAUUUGAUCUAGAGUGGUCUCAGUAGGGAGAUUUUCUGAUUAUAAAUAUUAAUAGACAUUUAAUUGUUUGAGAAGUCGGAGUUAAAUCAAUUCCAUAAUCAUUUUAAUUAAUUAAGAUGAAUAUCAUACUAUGGAUUUGCCUCGUAUUACGAAGAAAAUGUACGAAAGAUAGUUAAGGAACAGCUUUUUUGAAAUUUUUUUCCAGGAGCUGAUAUUAUAUUAAAAAAUUGGGUGAAAAUAUAAGCUGAUAAUAUAUUAAAAAAUUGGGUGAAAUACAAGUAAAGGUAUUGCAGACUGAUCCGUUUAAGCUUGUGAGAGGACUCGUCGGUCGUCAAUUAUUUUCUCUCGUUCUUGGGAUACAUACAAGAAAAAAGUUCGAGGUGAGUUAUUAACAGUAAACCCAAACUGCCCUAUUUUAUUAAUAGCAAAUAGAAUAUUAGUACUCUUAAGGUGAGUUUUGACACGCUGUAUUUAUAUUAUGGUUUAUUUCAUCAGAAUGUACUACUUUGAGUUGUGAUACAAUACUAAAUUUGAUGUAUAUAAUAAAAUAAUAUUAUUUUUUGUUAAAAUUAAAUUAUUUUUAUUUAAAUAUAUUAAUAUUUAUUAUUAUUAAUUUUUAAAGAAGAAUUAAAUAUUCUUGUAUUUAAUUUUAUAAAUAUAAAAAAUUUAAUAGUAUAUUAUUACUAAUUAAUAAGAUAUUACAAUACUAUGUUAUUUUAUUAAUUCUAUUAUAUUACAAUAUAAUUUUAUUUAUAUGUAUUACUUUUUAUAAUAUAGUAUAAUCAUAUUAUAAUAUGGUAUAAUAUGAUUAUUAUGUAAUGAAAGUAAAAUAACGUACUACCAUUUAUUUAUUUAGGUUCAUUACUAUCUUAUAUUAUUAUUACUUAAAUUAAAUUUUAUUUAAAUACAAAUAUAAAUUAAUAUUUAAUAAAUAUAAAUUUAAUAUAAUUAUAAAAUAAUAAAGAUUAAAUGAUUAUACUUAAAAUAUGAACAAUGUUUUAAUACAAUACAGCCUAAAUUCUAUCUCCGCUUAGUUUUAUUUUUAUACCUUUCAUUGUAUUACCUAUCUUUUUAAUAUUGUGCAAUGCAACUAGAAAUUUCAGCCGAAGGAGGGUUAGCAUAAGAACCAUCUUUUUAAUAUUAUGAUGUAUUGCAUUAUUUAAUAAGGGUCAUUGUAUUGUCACUAUAUUAUACUAAUAUUGUAUGAUGUUUUGUGUUCCACUGUAUUGUAUUAUCUAAAAUAAUAUUUUAUAUAAUUAUUUAUGUGAAAUUAAUAUUAUGUAUAUUUAUUAAUGCUUUAUAUCAUUAUUAUAUCACAUUUAUUAAUUUAAUUUACAAACAAAAAAAUAAAUCACUGACAGCCACAUCAACCAUCGCUAAUCACCACGAAUCAGCGCCGACACCACAUUUUGGUUUUAUUUGAUGUUAUUUUUGGUAUCGUAAAAAUCCUCAUCGGUGGAGGACUGCAACGUACAUGUUUCACUGGAAAUAGAGCUUCCGGUCACUGGAGAUCUAUAGACAAAGUUUUGAUGUUCAAAAUUUUGACCAUAGAUUUAUGGCGAAAGGAACCUCGGUUCUGAUCAAACAUAUAUUGUUGUAAUGCUCAAACAACGAGAUCCAACAAUACUAAAAUAAACUCAAAUAGACAUAUAAAUCUAGCUGCCGAUUUUUGCGAGAGUGAUUUCAAGCAGUUGCCAUUGCCGAUUAAUAUUAAAUAGUAAUUAUUAUUGAUAAUAUAAUUUUAUUAUAUUAUUUUGUAUUUAUAAUAACUAAUAACUAAAUGUAAAUUCAUAUUAUAUAUUUUUAAUUAUUUUUUAAUUUUAUUAUAAUAUUAUAAUAUUAUAAUAUUUUCUUUUCUUUUUUAGUUAGUGUGCAGUUCUAAUAUGCUUCGGUGCUUGCUGCUUUAAAUUCGAAAAUAUAAACUUAUUAUUAUUUUAUUUUUUAUUAUAUUAAAUAAUUAUUUUAUAUAAAUAUGAUGUGGUAUUAUUAAAUAACAUAAUAAACUUGAAAAUAACUAAAAAUACAUAAUACGAAUUUACACUUAUUUAUUAAUUAUUAUAGAUAUAAAAAUAAAAUAAAAGGUAGAAUAUAAUAUAAAUAGUAUUGUAAUAUAAUAUAAUUUUAUUAAAUUAUUAGUUCGAUUUUAUAUUAAUUAUCAAUAGCUUUUGCUCAUUUAUAUAGCAAAAGCUAAUGCGUCAACUUGCGCAGUGCACUAACUCCAGCUCCCCCGGGUUUGUGUAAUGCACCAAAAUUUAUAAUGUGGGCAUUAUAGACAGCUCCACAACGCAACUUCGAAAUUUGCCAAACAUGGGUUGGUAACAAGUUUUGAAGCCCCAAAAGUUCAAUAAACAGUACCUCAGUGCUUGAAGCUCUAAGUUACCAAAAAUGAAAUCAAUUUUGAAGUCAUUGUUGUUGCAAAACAAAAGUGUAAAGGGAAAGUUGACGAGUGUUUCUUAAACACUACUAAUUGUCAAGUUAAAACUGUUUGGUAUGCUAUUUAGAACUUAUGCUUUAGUAAAUAGUUGUGGGCAGUAAUCGGUUACCUUGCCAAAACCAAAUUGCAAUUAUUUACUAAAACACUUAUCUUUGGCAGCAGAGUGACCAAAAAGCUCAUACAAACAGCGCCUCAAUCCAGCUGGGUUAAGGGUUCCAAUGAAAAGUAAAUUUUCUCUAACAGACACACUUUUCCUACAACUAAGAUUUAUUCUGAAGAAAUCUCAAAAGAUUUAUUCUAGAUAAUGUAAAGCCGUAAAUGUGACACAGGCAUGUUUUAGAUUUAGUCCAAGAGACAAGUACAAUCCAAGAUUAUGACUCCAAUUGUUUCAAUUGAUUGUAUUUUUCUAGACAUAAUUAAAUUACGUAUAAAAUAUAUAUUGUUAGAAAGGUGAAUAUGUCUAGUUUUUGAAGAAUUUUAUGGAAUUAAAUUCAAACUUCUGUUCUUAAAGAAAUUCAUGACUUUGUCAAUGAAGGUCACAACUGUUAGGAAUUCUACACAUAGCAAAAAAGUUUUGAAUUUACUGGCAUUAAUGCAUCAAGAUCUAAUUAAGAAGCUUCAAAUCAGUGAAAAGCUUUUGAGUCAAGAGUUCAAUGAAUUUUACAUGUUUGAUUUGGAGUUUUCUACAUCAAGAUAUGAUUAAACGAGUGUUGACUGCUUACACUUGCGGUUGAAACCGACCUUGAUAUCAAAUUGUAUUUUGCUUUGUUUUCUUUCACCUCAUGAUAGCUAAGACCUGUUAUUCAAAUUUGAUUUGAAUUCUAAAUGAUAGAGAUCUUAUCCUAAGCUCGGAGGGAUGUUCCAAGUUGUCUAUACAAAAAAGUAUUACAUUGUAACUUUACAAAACAGGGUGAUUAUGAGAAUGUAACUUAGAAGAGUGCUCUUGUUAGGGUUUCUUCAUGCAACUCUAUAUCUCUUGGUUCGAUUCCUUAGAGUGGUGAGUUGAGAAGUGUUGGGGAAAAAUUAGGUUUUUAAAUUUUUAUAAAACCUUUUGAAGAUCGCUCUCAUAUAAUAUAUAAGAAUUUGUAUUCUAGAAAUCGUACCUUGAAAAUCCGAGUUGGCUUUUUCCGCUGAAGUGAUUUAGGCUCCUAGAUCACGAUCUGCCACCACCACUCCUGUUAGAUCACGAUCCGUCACCACCACGCUUGUUAGAUCACGAACUGUCACUAAUGAUCUUCCAGGUUAUGACUCAGGUUCAAUCUGCACUUGACGUGUGGGCGCCUUUAUCACUACCAAAGCAACUAGCACGAGAAAAUUUUUCUCUCAACAAUAGAGAGAAAAAUCUUAUUCUCUGAUCUGUAUAAAGUGGUUUCUCCCUUUUCCUUUAGAGAAAAUAAGCCUUAUAUAUCUCCCUUUAGUGAAAACCCUAGGCUCCAAGAAUGCCCAAAAUAAAACUCACGUUACUUUUCAUUUAAUAGGGGACCCACCAUGUAAAAGAACAUAAGGCCCCUUACACAUAAGCUUAUUAAAUGGAGCCUCCCACUAAAUGAUAUAUUUAGGCUUUUGACCCAAAUAGCUAGUUAUCUUGCUUAUUAGUCCAGUAGUGGUGCAGUCAAUUAAAUGAGCUAACCCGGGGAUCAUUUGGGAACAUACAAUAGUGGCUAUAACAAUUAGGCCUGUAAUUAAACUAGCCUAAUUAUUUAAUUCCAAAUCUACUCCACUAAAAGAUUGGAACUGACUUCCAUAAUUGUAUGCUCGAAUAAUAAUUCGUCCCAAGCCACAUUGAUUUCUUUAGUGCACAAUCCUUUGUACCACAUCGUUAAUUAAAUUGAUAUCUCAACUGUCCAAUCAAUUUAAUAACAUCUUAUUCCUUGAUCCUUACUGGUUUUCUCUAAUGAUCAUUUUCAACAUACUAAAUAUGUUGACACACUCUGGCCAGAGAAUUCUAUGAUCAAGUGCCGAAAGCCCAUCAAGAGAUGUGUUGUACAAAUUCUAUAUUGUUAAUCCAUAACUCCAAUACUCAUAAUUGCUCCCACCAAGAUACCGAGUAAUCUUGACCACAAGGAUGUGUCGUACCCAUUGGUAACUCAAAUGGAAUAACAAUUAAAAUCAUGAAAUCAUAAUUAACUCAAGAUUAAGAUUACAGUAAAAUCAAUGCCUAUGAGAUUUAAUAAGUCUGGCAGUUAUUACAAAGUUAAUUAAAUCUCAUAUGUGAUCCUGUUCAAUGUAGUCGUACUACAUCAAUAAAUUCAUACAUGAUUAAGACAAAUCAUUCAAUGAAUUUAUUACAGUCUAUACCUAAAUAAAGUACCCAACUUUAUUUAUCAACUGCGAACUAAAUUUAUUUAAUCAUAAGAUAACUUAUAUUUAUGUCUUCUGUGAAUCCACAUGGUGAUCACAUAAAUACAUAUAAUAUGAUUAAUGGACUUUAAUACAAAUAUUAAUGCAAUUAAGAUAUUUGAAUAAAAUACCUCAUCUAUUUUAUUAAUCAGAAAAAUUGUUUAUUACAAUUAAAUAAACACAUAUGCUUUUAAAGAGCAUAUUUUCCCAACAAUCUCCCACUAGCUCUCAAAGCAUAUUUGGCAUCUCACGCAUGCCCAUGGAUUCUAAGUGCAAGUUAAAAGGUUUCCCAGGUAUGGCCGUAGUAAAAGGAUCUGCCAAGUUUUGCUGUGACGCAAUAUGAGUAACCUCCACAUUACCUCUCUACACUAUAUCCCUUAUAAGAUGAUACUUCCUCUCAAUAUGUUUUUGUUUCUUGUGGUUCCUUGGUUCCUUAGAUUGAGCUACCGCACCACUAUUAUCGCAAAAUAGUUUCAGGGGUGCAGUUACAGCAGGUACCACCUCAAGAUCUUGUAGGAACUUGCGGAGCCAUACAGCUUCUUUUGCAGCUUCGGAUGCAGCCACAUAUUCAGCUUCAAUUGUGGAGUGUGCGAUACAAGAUUGUUUCACACUCCUCCAACUAAUAGCUCCACUUCCCAAUGUAAACACAUAGCCGGAAGUUGAUUUUCUAGAAUCCUUAUCUGACAUAAAGUCAGAAUCAGUAUAACCCACUGGAAUGAGUUCAUCACCAGAAUACACAAGCAUAUAAUUUUUAGUUCUUUUCAGAUACUUCAUUAUAUGCUUGACCGCAGUCCAGUGUUCAGGUCCAGGAUUAGAUUGAUAUCUACUAACCAUCCCUACUGCAAAACAGAUGUCUGGCCUAGUGCAAAGCAUGGCAUACAUGAGACUUCCCACAGCUUCUGCAUAGGGAACUCGUCUCAUUCGCUCUAUCUCUUCAGAUGUUUUAGGUGAUUGAUCCUUAGAGAAUGUAAUUCCAUGUCUGAAUGGUAAUAAACCAGUCUUGGAAUUUUCCAUGCUAAAUCUAGCCAAUAUCUUAUCGAUAUAAACCGCUUGAGACAAGGCUAAAGUUUUAUUCUUCCGGUCUCGUAGUAACUUGAUACCAAGAAUAUAACUUGCCUCUCAUAGGUCUUUCAUAUCAAAUUGUUUUGCUAACCAAUUCUUUAUUGUAGUCAAUACUCCUAUAUCGUUUCCAAUUAGGAGAAUAUCGUCUACAUAAAGAAUUAGGAAGGCUACAGAUUUUUCUUGAAUUUUCUUGUACACACAUGGUUCAUCAAUGUUCUAAAUGAAUCCAAACGAUUUAAUCGCUUGAUCGAAUCUGAUGUUCCAUGACCGGGAUGCUUGCUUCAAUCCAUAAAUGGAUCUCUGCAACUUACAUACCAUGUGUUUUUGGCCUUUUUGUAUAAAUCCAUCUGGUUGCUGCAUGUAGAUGUUUUCUUUAAGAUGCCCGUUAAGAAAGACAGUCUUGACAUCCAUUUGCCAAAUUUCAUAAUCUAGCACUGCAGCAAUGGAGAGCAGAAUCCUGAUGGAUUUAAGCAUAGCAACCGGAGAAAAUUUUUCCUCAUAAUCGAUUCCCUCUUUCUGAGUAAACCCUUUGGCUACUAAUCUUGCUUUAAAUGUUUCCACCCUUCCAUCUACUCCUCUUUUUCUCUUGUAGAUCCACUUGCACCCUAUAGGUUUUACCCCAUUUGGUGCCUCUACAAGUUCCCAGACUUUAUUGGAAUACAUAGAUUCCAUUUCUUGAUUCAUGGCUUUUUUCCAAAAUUCAACAUCUCUAUCUAUUAGAGCUUCGUUGUAACUAGUGGGAUCUUGUACAUGUUCAUCUGAGAUAGCCGUAUAGGUUUCUCCUAAAAGCAUGUAUCUCGCAGGUAACCUAGUUACCCUCCCACUACGACGAGGUUCUAAAAGUGAUGGUUGUUCAGGGUUAAUCCUGUGUUGAUCAUCUGGUUGUUGAUGUUCUUCCUGUUCUGUAACAGGCGUUGAAAGUUGAGCAUCAACUUGAUCACCUAACAGUUCUUCAAGUAUUACCUUACUCUUAGGUUUGAAGUUAUUCAUAUAGUCUUCCUCGAGGGAAGUGAAAUGUGUGCUCACGAUCACUUUCCUAUCUUGAGGACUAUAAAAUAAACCUCCCCUUGUUCCUUUGGGAUACCCCACAAACAUACAAACUUCAAAACGUGAAUCCAUUUUGUCUGCCUUUGGUUUCAGCACAUGUGCUGGUGAUCCCCAAAUACGGACAUGUCGUAAACUUGGUUUGCGACCUGACCAUAAUUCUAUUGGGGUUUUAGGCACUGACUUAGAUGGAACUAAGUUCAAAAGGUAAACUGCAGUUUCCAGUGCUAGUCCCCAAAAAGAGAUUGGUAAUGACGAAUAACUAAGCAUAGAUCUCACCAUAUCCAAAAGAGUUCUAUUUCUUCUUUCAGCUACCCCAUUUUGUUGUGGUGUUCCUGGGGCAGUCAACUGAGAUAUAAUCCCAUUUUCAACUAGAUACUCUUUGAAAUCUCCUGAGUGAAAUUCACCACCUCGAUCAGAUCGAAGUUUCUUUUGUUCUUAUCUAAUUGCUUUUCUGUCUCAGCCCUAUACUCUUUGAAUUUCUCAAGAGCUUCAGACUUAUGACGCAUCAGAUAAACAUAACCGUAUCUUGAGUAAUCAUCAGUGAAAGUGAUGAAAUACUCAUAACCUCCUCGAGCUUGUACAUUGAUUGGUCCACAUACAUCUGUAUGUACCAAUUCAAGUGGUACUGUUGCACGUACUCCUUUAGCCGAGAAUGGCCUUUUGGUCAUUUUCCUUUCUAAACAGGAUUCACAGAGUGGCAAUGAUUCAUUUUCUAAUGGACCCAAGAGCCCAUCUUUGAUCAUUCUCUGUAUCCUAUUUUGGUUUAUAUGACCCAAGCGUAAAUGCCAGAGGUAACAUUGGUUGGAAGAAAUAUUUCUUUUCUUAGAUAAAUGUGUAUGCUCAUCAUUAUUUAUCACUGUGUCAUGCAUAGAAUGGAUCAUUGGACUUAAAUGAUAUAAAUUAUCUUCCAAUGUACCAGAAAAAAUAAGUCUCUUAUUCUGAAAAAUAGAAACAGAGGAUCCAAAAUUUACAGUGUACCCUUGCUUUGACAAACAAGCUACUGAAAUUAAAUUCCUCUUAAUGUCUGGAACAUAAAGACAAUUAUUCAAAACUAAAGUCUCAUUAUUAAAAGUUAAUAAAACAGAUCCAGUCUUCACUGCUGAUACGAACUGUUCUGUCCCUAACUGCAGCUUGAUGCUUCCUUCACUUAUUUUCCUGGUUUCCUGAAACCAAUAAAGUGAAUUACAAAUAUGAUUAGUUGCUCCUGAAUCCAACACCCAAGUGUCAAUAGGAUUCUGAACUAAACAUGCCUCAAUUACAAAAAGAUUUCCCAUACCUGAUUUCACAAUCUUAGGGCAAUCCUUUUUCCAGUGACCUUUCUGUCCACACUUAAAGCAUUUGCCUUUCGGCUUGCCAUCUUGCUUGGUAGACGGUUUCUUUUUCCCAGCUUUCUUCUUACCUUUGCCUUUCGACUUAGGCCCAGAAGAUGAACUUUUUUCAGUAAUAUUUAUGCUUCCCAGAGAUUUCUCAGCAAGAUAGAUCUCUUCAGCAGAAUGGAGUUCGUUCAUCAAUUCAAUUAAGGUCAUGUUUCUUUUGUUCAUGUUAUAAUUGACCUUAAACUCCUUGAAUGUUUCUGGUAGAUAUUCUAGCACCAUGUCAAUCUUUGAGUUAUCAUCGAUUUGUGCUCCUUGAAUCUCAGCCUCAUUCAAAUAGUCCAUCAUUUUGAGGACAUGAUCACGAACUCUUGUGCCCUUCCCCAUUUUACUGUUCAUAAUUCCUUUCAGUGUUGCUUGUCUCGCUGAGCGAGUACUCUGCCCCAACAUCUGUUGGAGACUAUCCAUUAUUUCAGUGGCAGUCUCCAAGUUCUGAUGUUUGGUCUGCAGAAUAUUAGAAAUCGAGGCUAAAAUGUAGCACUUUGCCAUUUCAUUGGCCUUUCGUCAUUUCUCAUAAAGCCUCCUCUGAUUUCUAUGAGCAUCAUCCGCUGGAACUGGAGGGCAUGGCUGGGUUAAGCCAUAUUUAUAAUUUUCAGCAGUCAGGACAAUGAAUAGAUUUCUUUUCCAAUCUAUAUAGUUCUCUCCAGUGAGUUUGUUUUGACUCAGAAUAAUAGUAAGUGGGCUCAGGGAAGAUAUUUUCUGAAAAAUAAAACAUCCAUGCAUAAAUAAUUUGAAAUAAUAUUCACAAUAAAUGACAAAAAUGCAUAAAACCAUAAAUGCAUUUUAAUUUAUUGAAACGAUAAUCUAGUUCCACUUUGACAAGCUAUCCGGUGGGGAAGUCAUGUCUAUACUUACUAGACCCAAUUACCCAUUGGAUUAUUUACUUUCAUGUAGAGACAUGAUAAAUAAUUAUCAUUAUCUUUUUGGGCCUAAAUUUGCUAACAGAGCUUCGUUGGGAAGGUUAAUAACAAAUUUUAGUUGAGUGUAUAACCAUUGUUUCAAUCUACGUAUUUUUCAUAUCAAUAGUCACCGUUGCGGUGAACAAUCGAUUGAAAAAUAUUUCAAUUUUAUCUUUGAAGAAGUUCAUCAAAUAAAAUAUCUAAUAUAUAUACCCUCCGAAGGGAGCAUCACCGUAUCAUGAAGUCGAGGUAUAUAUAUAAUUUUAUUAUUGAACUAACAAUAGAGCCCGUGGGAAAAUUAUCUUGAAUUUUCCCUCUCCCACUCAAUAUUUUAAAAUUGGUUUUUUCCUUUUUAAAACAUACAUAUUGUUAAUUGCAUGCUUCCUAUAAUAUUAUCUAGAUGAUAUCAAAUAUUAUUAAGCAUACACAAAUUUCAAACAAUAUUAUGAAAUUCAUUAUUAAUGAAUGACAUGUAUCAUUAUGCAUAGAGUGGCACUACCUAUUCUAUAUGACAUUGUUAUCAUGGCAUGUGAUCAUCCAAAACAUAACAUAUAGAAAAACAAUUAAAUAAUCUUAAUUCAUGGUUUUCCUAAUAAUGAAAAAUACAUUAACCCUAAGCCUAAUCUUCAUUGGGCUUCUUGUCAAUGUCCAUCUUCGAUAAACUUGUCUUUGUUAAUGGACUAAGGGAAAUUGGGCUUUUAAAUUUAUAAUUGGUCCAAUUUUAAUUUUAAAUAAAUAAAUAAAUAAAAUUUUUUUAUUAAAAUAAAAUUUUUGGACCAAAAAUAAAUUUAAUGUAUUUAAUUUUGUCUAUGCAUUUUAAUCCAUUAAGCCCAAUUGAAAUUGGGCCUAAAACUAGGAUCCAUUAAACCCAAAACUAUUUUUGGAUUUAAACGUAAAAAAUAAAAAACGUUUCUGCCCAACUGAAAAAAUAUGAAACUAUAGGGACCUCCACGAUAAAAACCAUGGAACCCUAAAAUCACAUUUUUCUUUUCCUCCUCUUCCCCAGCCGCCACCAGCAAAAAAAAACAGCCGUUGUUUACUGUUUCCACACCGGACAACCGUCAUCAACGCCGGAAAGACGCCAACCAAAACGCUCCGCGCCUCCAGCCCACGUUCACGCUGCUGCUCGAGCGCUGCAGUUGCUGCAUGUGCAGCGCGCGCUGCAGCUGCUGCGUGUGCAGCUCGCACUGCUAGCAGCGUGGCUGCUGGCUGCUGCGCGCGCUGCUGGCAGCAUGUGCUGCUGGCCGCUCGCUGCUGCGUGCGCUGGUUCGUUGCUACAGUUUCCAACAAGUUUCUGCAAUUUUCCAGUGAUUUACAAUUAUCUGAUGCUAAUUUUGGCUUACAAAAAUUUUUAUUAGGAUAAACUAAAUCAAGAGGGGAGCAUGGUGAUAAAAGACCACCCCUCUUGUUACAGAUCCAAAGAAAAAUUACAAUGAAAAAUCUAACCAUGAAUUAAGACAAAUCAUAAACAUGUUUUAUUCAUAUAUUAAACAAAUAAUAUACAUCUGAAUAAAUUGUGCCACUCUAAUACAUAAAUAUCAAUAUUGAUUUCAUACGAAAUUCUUAUGUAUUAAUAUGAGAUGGGCUCUGAUACCAAUUGUUGGGGAAAAAUUAGGUUUUUAAAUUUUUAUAAAACCUUUUGAAGAUCGCUCUCAUAUAAUAUAUAAGAAUUUGUAUUCUAGAAAUCGUACCUUGAAAAUCAGAGUUGGCUUUUUCCGCUGAAGUGAUUUAGGCUCCUAGAUCACGAUCUGCCACCACCACUCCUGUUAGAUCACGAUCCGUCACCACCACGCUUGUUAGAUCACGAACUGUCACCAAUGAUCUUUCAGAUUAUGACUCAGGUUCAAUCUGGACUUGACGUGUGGGCGCCUUUAUCACUACCAAAGCAACUAGCACCAGAAAAUUUUUCUCUCAACAAUAGAGAGAAAAACCUUAUUCUCUGAUCUGUAUAAAGUGGCUUCUCCCUUUUCCUUUAGAGAAAAUAAGCCUUAUAUAUCUCCCUUUAGUGAAAACCAUAGGCUCCAAGAAUGCCCAAAAUAAAACUCACGUUACUUUUCAUUUAAUAGGGGACCCACCAUAUAAAAGAACAUAAGGCCCCUUACACAUAAGCUUAUUAAAUGGAGCCUCCCACUAAAUGAUAUAUUUAGGCUUUUGACCCAAAUAGCUAGUUAUCUUGCUUAUUAGUCCAAUAGUGGUGCAGUCAAUUAAAUGAGCUAACCCGGGGAUCAUUUGGGAACAUACAAUAGUGGCUAUAACAAUUAGGCCUGUAAUUAAACUAGCCUAAUUAUUUAAUUCCAAAUCUACUCCACUAAAAGAUUGGAACUGACUUCCAUAAUUGUAUGCUCGAAUAAUAAUUCGUCCCAAGCCACAUUGAUUUCUUUAGUGCACAAUCCUUUGUACCACAUCGUUAAUUAAAUUGAUAUCUCAACUGUCCAAUCAAUUUAAUAACAUCUUAUUCCUUGAUCCUUACUGGUUUUCUCUAAUGAUCAUUUUCAACAUACUAAAUAUGUUGACACACUCUGGCCAGAGAAUUCUAUGAUCAAGUGCCGAAAACCCAUCAAGAGAUGUGUUGUACAAAUUCUAUAUUGUUAAUCCAUAACUCCAAUACUCAUAUUGCUCCCACCAAGAUACCGAGUAAUCUUGACCACAAGGAUGUGUCGUGCCCAUUGGUAACUCAAAUGGAAUAACAAUUACAAUCAUGAAAUCAUAAUUAACUCAAGAUUAAGAUUACAGUAAAAUCAAUGCCUAUGAGAUUUAAUAAGUCUGACAGUUAUUACAAAGUUAAUUAAAUCUCAUAUGUGAUCCUGUUCAAUGUAGUCGUACUACAUCAAAAAAUUCAUACAUGAUUAAGACAAAUCAUUCAAUCAUAAGAUAACUUGUAUUUAUGUCUUCUGUGAAUCCACAUGGUGAUCACAUAAAUACAUAUAAUAUGAUUAAAUGGACUUUAAUACAAAUAUUAAUGCAAUUAAGAUAUUUGAAUAAAAUACCUCAUCUAUUUUAUUAAUCAGAAAAAUUGUUUAUUACAAUUAAAUAAACACAUAUGCUUUUAAAGAGCAUAUUUUCCCAACAAGAAGUGCGGUAUCUCUUGUAGGAUAUCAUUAGAUGGUGAAUAUCUAUAUCCUUUUGUAAUCCUCUUAAAUGGUGAGCUUUGGUAAGUUAGAAUGCCUUGUAUCUCUUGUAAGACAUCAUUGGGUGGUGAAUAUCCCAUUGUAAUGAGCUUUGCUCUUGCCUUAUCUACGUGUGUGUUUUACUUAAUAAUGAAGUUCAGUUUAUAAUUAGGCCAACAUCAAAAUGGCAUUAGAUGUUUGUUGUAUUCUUCGCUUUCCUUUGAGACAGUCCAAAAUUUGCUAAAGUUUUCACAACAAAAGUAGGAUGUGAUGUCCUUUAUAUAUUUUUGUUAGAAAGGAAACAGACAAAAUGCAUUUAGCAUUGUCAAAGCAAGGAUAGAACAACGCAAAUUUUUUUGACAAAUAGAGCACCAUUUGAUUUGGAAGAAAAGCUGGAAUAAUAAACAAGCAGAGAUCAAAACUGAAAUCAACCCAAAAUCGAAGAAGAAAUGUGGAAAGGAUACCAAUACAUUGGACAUUUGAAGAUACAUAGUCUGAAUGUUAGACUGAGUAUAAGUAACCUCCUAACCAAACUAAUGUUAUGAAUUGGUCAAUUUUAUUCUCUGUAGGUCCAUGUUCGAACAUAGGGAAGCUAAAUGCCCUUUUAACAAUACCUUCUUUAAUUCUGCCUGGAAAUUGUGAUAGGACUUUGGGCUAAAUUAGGGCUGACUUUUAUUGAUUAGAUCAAAAGAAAGAACAAUCCUGACCUACCUCUCUCAAAACUCCUAAUUAUUCCUAUCACUAGACAAAACUCAACAUAAAUCCUAAAUGACUCCUUAAUCUCUUAUUUAUACCCGAGCCAAAAUUAACAAUAAAUAAAAUUACUAAACUGGCCCUAGCCCUAAAAUUACUAAGUUUUUCCCACCCUUUAUAAAAUUACUAAACUGGCCCUAUCCCUAAACUGACUUUUAUUGAUUAGAUCAAAAGAAAGAACAAUCCUGACCUACCUCUCCCAAAACUCCUAAUUAUUCCUGCCACUAGACAAAACUCAACAUAAAUCCUAAAUGACUCCUUAAUCUCUUAUUUAUACCCGAGCCAAAAUUAACAAUAAAUAAAAUUACUAAACUAGCCCUAUCCCUAAAAUUACUAAGUUUUUCCCACCCUUUAUAUUUGCGGCUAACAUAAGUUUUAUCGGUCUAACAUUACUCCUCUCUUAAAAAUACACCUCGUCUUCAAGGUGAAAUAAAGGAAACUGCUGUUUUUUCUUCCUUGGCUUCUUCCCUACCUUCCUUCUCAUCACACGUAGUUAGGACUUGUAGUGAUUUAUCCUUACAUCGAUGACUCGAUGAAAAUUUCUCAUCGCAUUGAAAAACAACCUCAUUGUCCUCUUAUCUUGAAUCUAUGUCUUUGUGAGCCAUUUGAAAGUCACCCCUAGUUGUGCCCGACUAACCCGAUCCCUUUAGGAAUCUCUUUAUAACCCCAUCAUUUGCAUUUUUUAGCCUUCUAAUGGUGUGCUUUGGAACUUUGGCUGAAACCCCAAAGUUUGGGUUUUCUGUCCUAUCAAUGGUGUGCUUUUUUGGUAUGAAAAACAGACUAAACUGCUCAUAUUACCCCGUUCUAUUGUGUUCUUAUCAUUAAUCAUCUGUGCCAGCUCCAUUGACUCCUCUAACCCUCUCUACCCUAACAAGUGUAGUGAGCUCAAAUUUCUGGCUUCAGUUCCUUCAUAAAUUUCCCUUCCAAUACUGCCUCUUGGAUUCCCCCAAAUACCCUGAUAGCAACUCAAACUUCUCCUUAUACUCCAUGAUUGGUCUUUCCUAGGUCAGAGCAAAAAACUAUUCAGACAAAUCUCCCUUUUGAGUGGCUUGAAGCUUUUCUAAUAGUCGGUCCUUGAAUUCACCCUAUAAAUCAAUGAUUGUCAUUGUUCUCGCCAUUGAAACCAUGCAAGGGCCUUUUUUCCCAAGCAUAACGCGGCCGUCGUCAGCUUUUUCCUUUUUAAGAGUCCAUUCAUGGUGAAAGAGUGCUCUAUCUUAUACAUCCAACCAUAGGCAUCCUCACCUUCAAAAAUAGGCAUUAUCAGUUUCCUUACCCUAGAAUCUACCCCAAAUUGAGUCUGUCCCGCCCGAUUUCGCACUAUUAGAGGCCUCUAACCUCUCGAAUCUACUUCAAUUUCACAAAUCUUGAGACUUAGCCCCAAAUUCUCCUAGUCUAGCCCCAUAUUAGGCUGAAAUCCCUUGCUCAAUUGUUUUCUGGUAAAAACCGCUCUCUCUCACAUCGAAAACCCCUCUUCCCGCCCAUCCGGCCCUAAAUCCGAACUAUCCAGACCCAAAAUCGCCCUGCCUUGGCCCAAAGCAACCCUAUAUCUUAUGUUGGAAAGAUAUAUCAUUUAAAUCCUACUAUUUCUAAAAUAUAACUAAUUCAAACUUUAUGUGUGUCAUUAAUUAAAAUCAUCCUCUAAUCUAUUUUUUAGAAAAUAAAACAAAAUCUCAAUAAUAAUAUUUCAUAAAACAAGCAUAUUUCAUGUUAACCCAACCAAAAACCAUCCGAAAACCUCCUUCUACUCAUAGUUACAAAGAAAAUCUCACCCCAAUCCAUUAAAAUUGUCAAAUUUAAACAAAAAUUAUAAAAUUUGAAAUAAAAAUCCCAAAAUUUAUAAAAAACGAAAAUAUUUUUUUUCCCUCUCUUUUACUUUCUUCAUAUUCUUCGUUCUAUUCCCUGUUCAUCUUCUUCUUCGUUCAUUUUUUUCUUCUCUUUCACACACUUAACAAAUCCACAACCACUGUUAAUUUCAAAUCAGCCCAGCAAAACCCAUGUCUAUUGCCUGGCAAAAGCCAUGGCCUCGCACUGCCAUGUCCAGCAAAACCCAUGGCUACGCUAGCAAAAUCAUGGCAGCUGGGCACGGGCAUUCCAAGCAAGCCCAUGGAUGCAUGCAGCCAUGCCAAGCAAACCCAUGGCUGUGGGCGGCCAAUCCAAGCGAGCCCAUAGCUACGCGUUGCGACUAUUCCAAGCAAUCCCAUAGCCAUCAGCAACCAUUCCAAGUAAGCCCAUAGACGUGCGUAGCCAUGCCAAGCACACAUUGAUCCAAUCAAAUGGUUGUUAAUGUUGAGAGAUGAACAAAAUCUGAGGUUAUGACUAUGUUCGACAUGUCGGUUAUUCAACCUGGUAAUAGAUGAUGUGUCAGUUAUCUCGAGUAAGGAAGCCAUAUGACAAAGUUGUUCCGUCAGUUGAGUGAAUAAGUUGAGCAGUUGAUACAACACGUGCAUUACUUACUCAAAACGGUAGAUGAAGACAGCAUUUCUGAGGUGAUUGCAACACGUGUCCAAAAGCUAGUUUAAAUGGCUAGUAAAAGCUGUUGAAAGGCGCGGGAAAUUUCUAGGUUUGUUGCUAACAAACCCAGUAACGUUGAGCUGGCUUCUGGGGGUAUUUCUAAAAGCAAUUUCGUGUUGUAUAAAGCCUUGUGAGUUGUUAUAUGGGAUUAAUCCAGAGGGUGACAGUUUCUCAGCUUCUUUUGUAUCUUGUAAAGGCCAGAUUAGUAAAAAAGCUUGCUUUCCUUUUCACAGUGGAUGUAGGUCACCUAUGUGGAUAAACCACUAUAAUCCUUUUAAGUCCUUGUGUGUGUGUUUUUAGUUCUUUAUCUGAUUCGAUCUCUGAUUGUUUCAGUAUCUGUGUCUUCAUCAAGAUUGUGUUGAUUAUUAGCCAUUCUUAGGUCAAAGAGAUUUUGAGAUCUUAGGGGAUCAAGAUCGGUUUCUUACUGGUUUUGGUCCAGCAGUUAAUAAUUUUCAUGAUUAGUCUGGUUUUGGGGUUCACUAAUGAAUUUGGGAAGAAGCUAAGAUUUGUUGAAAAGGAGAUGAUGGGCCAAGACUUGGAAUAGUGGCGUUGCUGCACCAUCGCGUAGCUCCAAACUUCACUGCAAGUUGCUGGCAUGGCUACUAUGGCCUUAUGAUGCUUGGCGAAGAUGAAGCGUGGAGAACAUGUAGAAAACGGUAAGAAAUAAAAAAAAAAGGGAAAAUGAACCGAACCAGAUAAAGAAAUUAACCAGAAAAUAAAAAAAAGAAAAAAGUUAAAAAAAAUUAUUUUUCUUAUUUUAAAAAGAAAUAAUUUUUAUGCUUUUGCAGUUAAAAAAUUAACUAAUUAAAAAAUAAAAAUUAUAAAUUUGGGUACAAAUCGAAUUUUAUUGAAAUGUUUGAGUGUGCAUUGAAAUUUGUUGAAAUAUUUGGGCCAAAUGGUUCUUAAGAAAGAGAACUGAAUGUGAAAUGAAUUUUGUAAUCGAAUCAAAACGAAUCAAAAUAUUUCAAUUUGGUUCGAUUCGGUUCAAUUUUGAAGUUCAGUUCAGGUUCAAUUCGUAUUAUGCCAAUUUGGAAAACACUUCUAAGAAUCAGAAACAAAAAUAGAAACAUCAUGAGAAUUCAAAAGGAAAGAAACUGAGAGAAAAGAAACGAAACUCCAUUGAGCCAAAGAACAAGAGGCAGGGGUCUAUGUGUAUAGAGAGAAUUCAAUCACACAAGAACAAGAAACAAAAGUGGAGACAUCAUGAGAAUUCAAUCACCGUGAGAUUGCGAGGGAGAGACCAGAGAGUUUGUUGUGCCGCCGCCGACCUUGAGAGAGAUGGCUGCCGAUUUAGGGUUAUGAAACAUUUAAGAUUAGGAAUUGAAAAAUGAAAAAAAAAAUUAUUUUAGGCAUUAUAUUUUAAAAUAAAUAUAUUUUUUAAUUAAGUUGAAGCGAACCGAUCAGUUUGUCAAUUCAAACUAAACCAAAUACAAACCAAUUGAUUCGUUUGUUUUCAAACCAUUCGGUUUCUAACUUCUAAACCGAACCGUUGCCCGCCCCUACAUUUGGGUUUUGUGGAAAUUGCCUUUUAUGUUUUGACUUCUUAUCCAUGAGUUGACUGUUAAGAGAAUGUACAAAUAUAAUUUUAUGCUUUCAGUAGUUAAAUUUAAUGGGAAGAAAACAGUAUUUGGGGAUAAGUUUAAGUUUUUAUACUUUUAAGGGGUAAAUUGAAGUUUGUCAAUCUAAUAAGGGAUAUAAUACAAUUUACCCUUAUUUUUUACUCUAAAAUAACAAAUUAUUACUUAACUAAACAUAUUUCACUAAUGCUCCUUAUUUCCAACCAAACGGUGGGACUUGGCCUUGUGCCCAAAAUUCAUAAUCUAAUUUUAGCUGAUGUGUCAUGUGUGCUGCAUCAGAUAACUGUAGAUAAUAAUAGCUAACACAUUAACGAAAAUUAAAAAUACUAGUUUACAAAAUACAAAUCCGAAUUUUGUGUGUGAGGGAAUUUAAAAAUGGAGAGACUAAAAAAAUGUGGUGACAAAUGACAUUUAUUACCAAAAUUGAAAAUACAAAGUUUAGGCAACUGAAAGCAUCUCUUCAAUUGCAUUCAACCAAUUACCACCAUUCAUAAUUAACCAAAAUCAAAUAAAUUAAAAAAAAAAAAACAGAAAACAAUCACAACACUUUGAUCAUCCCUGCUUCUUCUUCUUCUUAGCAUAGCUCUUGGAAUAAAAAUUAACAAAAAGUGCCGAAAGGGACGCAUUAAACACAGCGUUGAAGCACCAACCCCAAAUCCCAGGCAACCAAAACCCGUGAAAUGAUAAUACAGCAUCAAAACCGAAACAACAAAACCAAACACAAACUGAACAAUCUGACAAUCAGUGACCAAUCUCUUCCACUUUGGCCGCAACCCCAUCACACACAACAGAUAGUACCCGUACAUGAUCACAUGCACACUUGCAUUGGUGACAAGUGCAAUAGGAAACAAAGACUGCUUCGUCUGUAACCAAAGGUAGCACAUUACAACGCGGUUGUAUGGUGGUAGACGUGGAGGAACGUGAGCCGUUGGACGGAGUUUGACAAAAUGAUCAAAAGGGUGUCUAAGAAUUCGAGUAUUUUGGAGAGGUAGAAGAUGUAAGCGUAGAAGAAGAGAGGGCCAGACAGAGAAAUGGCAGGGGGGAAACAGAGGGUGUAAUGGAGGUGGGGUAAAUGGAGGAUGAUGGAGAGAGUGCAACCAACGGCCAUGAUGAGGGAGAGGAGGAGGACGGUGAGGUUAUGGACGGCUAUGCUGGGCUUGAGGAUGUGGGUCCAAUGAGAGGUGAUGAUGGUGGUGAUGUUGAUGUUGAUGCGUGGUAGAGGAUGAAUGAGGAAGUGUGGGGAGGAAGCUAGUGUUUGGUUCGGAGUCCAUGUGAAGUUGAGGAUUUGGGGGUGGUUUACAAGCCAAUAUUGGAGUGUUGAGGUAAUUGAAUAUGAAGCCAUGGCUGGUUUUUGGGGGAAAGAAAGAUUUGGAAGAGAUGAUGUUGAGAGGAACGGGGGAGUUUAUAAAGUUUUGGGAUAAUGUGGAGGGUAUUUUGGACAUAUUGUUGUCUUAGCUUAAAUUUUGGGAAAAAGAUAGUCAAUAAUAAACUCUUUUUUCAUAUCAAUUUAAAACUCCGAGUGUGUUUCCAAAACUUGUUUUCCUUUUUCCGUUUUAGAUUUUAAAUCGGAAAUUUAGUAAAGGAAGUUAAAUCAAGUGAUCACUCUUUUGUUUUUCUUUCUUUUUUCAUGUAAAGCAAUUAAUAUUUUUUGUGAUUUAAACAAAUAUUGAGUUGGGUACUUUAACUAUAUUAAUAUUUGAUUCGAAAUUUCAUCUACCGAAACUACAAAAAUUAAUAUUUUUUAUUAAAUCAAAACUAAAAUUAAAAGAUGAUUCAUUGUCUGUCAACUGUCAUUAAACGAAGCCAUCACUCACACAAAAAAAAAGUGAUAUGUUCAUUUUAACGUAAUUUCAUACCAACAUGUCAUUCUUUUCUUUCAAACAAUGACCUCUUUAAUUAUAAAAUAUGGUAAAAGAGUAAUAAUACAGUAAUACAGCCACAAACUCUUGUACAAAUUUAUUUUGUAAACUUAUGUGGCGUCAAUUUAUUGGUUAAAUUAAAUAUCUCUUGGCCCACAUGAUUUACUUUCAUUAUUUUGUAUUUUCAUUCAACCAAUGAAUUGACGUCAUAUUAGUUUGUACAAAAUAAGUUUGUAUAAAAAUUUGUGGCUAUAUCGUCACUCAUGGUAAAAAGGGAUGGGUUCGAGGUAUGGCAUCCAGGCCUUUGUGACAACGGCUUCUUUGGACGUGGGUGUCAUUAGAUUUUUUGCUAUUAUCAUAUCAUCAGUUUUUUUUUGGCUAUUUCUGCUCAAUCAAACUUGUGGAUUACAUGCACUCAACGUCAACAAUGGAAAUGGGAGAAAAUUAAGUUAAUAAAAUCAAGUAAGUCAAAUAAGGUCCAGAAUAUACAAUUGCGUUUAGUGGCAGGAGGGUACGCAAAUACAUGGGAAAGAACUAUUUUUAGUCCAAUUUCAUGUUUGGAUGUUGAGGUUGAUAUGGAAAGGAUGUGGCUUCCCACAUAAAACCCACCGAUUCGUUCUAAACUAAGUGAAUUUAUCUCGUGAGCUAAGUUGGUUUAGGACGUAACUCAAAUAAUUAAUUUUUUAUUAGUUUAGUAAUAAAAAUUUGGAUUAUAUUUUAAAACUAUAAUUCAACAGAAAAAAAAAACUUAAUAAAAAUAACUGUUAUUUAACAUAUUAUAUUUUUUCAAUAAUAAAAUAAUUCAAAAUAGUAACAUCUCAUAUGGAAAGGAUGUGGCUCCCACAUAAAAAUAACCCACCGUUUCAUCCUAAACUAAGUGAAUUUAUCUCGUGAAAUAAGUAGUUUAGGAGAUGACUCAAAUAAUUAAUUUUUCAUUAGUUUAAUAAUAAGAAUUUAUAAUUAUAUUUUAAAUCAUUAAAAAAAUACUUAAUAAAAAUAAUUGUUAUUUAAGAUAUUACAUUUUUACAAUAAUAAAAUAAUUCAAAUUUUUUUAUUACAAUAAAAUUUGUAAUAUAAUUGAAUCAUACACUACGUCACAUAAAAUACAAAAUAGUACUAAAUGUAAUCCGUUUCGUUCUAAACAAAGUGAAUUUAUCUCGUGAGCUAAGUAGUUUAGUAGAUAACUCAAAUAAUUAAUUUUUUAUUAGUUUAGUAAUAAGAAUUUUCAAUUAUAUUUUAAAAAGUAUAAUUCAUUGCAACAAAAAUACUUAAUAAAAAUAACUGUUAUUUAAGAUAUUAAAUUUUUACAAUAAUAAAAUAAUUCAAAUUUUUGAUUAGUAUAACACUAAAAUUUGUAAUAUAAUGCGUUCAUAUACUACAUCACAUAAAAUAUAAACUAGCACUAAUUAUAAUCUUGUUACAACCAUUCCUAUUAUAUUCUAUCACAUCAUAUGCUAUCAUAUUUCAUCCAGCAUGUCAAACGUGCAAAGUUUAAGUAAGAUUUGUUAAAGUUGAGUAACAUCUCAUAUGGUCAAGCGCGUGGAGUAUGGACUUACAUUAUCGAGUGGGUACAACUAAAGUCGGGUAAAGUUUGGUGAAUCUUUAUAUAUAUUAUUGGGGUUGGACAACCAUAUCUUUUAAGCUAUAUAAUUAAAUAAUUUUGGUAAACAUUUGCUAUUGUGACUUAAAAAUUAAUUUGAUUUGAGCUCAUACUUUAUUAUAAAAAAAACUUAUAAUAUCUUUAUUAUUUUUAUUAAAAUUAUUAUUUAAAAGUCAUAUAUUUGUUACACAUUGUCAUUUUUUUUUUCAUUAAUAUCGAAUAAGACCUAAGUUGAGUAUGAUCAAAUAAUUUAAGUUUUGAUUUUUAUUCUACAAAAUAAUCAUUAGAUAAUUAGUCUGUAAAGAAUAUCAGCUACUUCAAAUGGAAAUUUGUGAUCAAAAGUGUACCACAGAAGUGACAAAGACACUAUAUGAGAAAUCUGAAAUAGAAUUUAAUAUCUUAGAAUAUACGACGUUGCAUCACAUAUGGUAUUUAGACAUCAAGAAAAGAAUCCCUCUAUCUGUGAACCACACUUGCCAGGAAAUUAACACCAGGGGAAUACCACCAAAAUUGGGCAAUUGACUACAUCAACUCCAACAAAUUUAUGCAGACACCUUCCUCCAGACCAUCCUCUUUCUUCGCGCUUUAGUUGCCCCUAUUUCCCAUUAUCUUGUUUGACGCCAAGGAGCCCAAGCCCAGAAACAAUGGCAUUCUUUGGUAUCAACCACCUGGAGACUUUGGUAUCAAGCCUGUUGUGCAAGGCUUCUUCAAAAGGUCAUCCGUUGAUCUUUCUCCUAAUUAGACAUUCAAAACCCUGCAUGGAAUCCAUUUGAGAAGUUGGACAAUAGACAAACUCCAACACAUAUAGACAGUAAAGAAGAAUUCAGACCGCGAUCACUGUGGCUGAACAAAUGGGCCUAUUAAGCCUAUUAAAAGUUGGAACCAUAUUCACCACUCGCAUUUCCUUAGAGAACUAUAUCAGAAUUCUGUAAAUUGAAAACUAUUCUUACAUAUUUAACUGAAAAACAAGAGAAAUUAUACUUCCGUAGCAAAGUCUCACUAUUGGUAAGUAUCUGGACUUGGAAAGGAUGCUAGUUGAUUAAGUAAAGGAAAAUUGAUAGAUAUAUACACUUCAAUAGGAACCACAUUAACAACUUAUGAGACAAACAAACAAAUUCCCCAGUCAAAGUUCAAAAAACGAAACAUUAAAAUAAGAGUAAUUUGGUCUAUCAAUGUAUACAUAGAGAUGUCGAUCAAUAGACAAAUACGUAAAAGAAGAGGGAAUGACCUCAAAGCCGUGCCUAAGAUCAGUGCUACUCCAAUAACUUCAAAAUGGUUGGUGACCGCUCUAUCAAAUCCACACAAUAGCUGAUAUCUCAUGUUUGCAUAUAGUCCAAUGAAAGCACCAUAACCAAGCACAUUAGUACUUACAGAUGGGAUUGUCACAGACAACCUGUCAGGCAGAUGGCCCAAAUUUAACAAAUGUUACACUGGCUUAGACAGCAAACAGAACAAUCUUCUAAGUUUACUCUAUUUAUAACAAAUAAGUGAACAAAGGAAUGAAAAGGAUGUUUGGCGAAGAAUCUUGCAUCUUAUCAAGUGGGGAAAGCCUUCGCAACAAAGAUGCUGCUUGCUUUCAAGCAAUAAUAAUUUUCCAAUUCCAUAAGGUAGCUUAAUGCCUUUUAAGAAUAUCUGCACCAGCCUAACAAUUAAUCAUGGAAAUUCAAUUUGCAUUUAUCACCUUUAAUUUGCUCAUCUUUGUCCAGAGUAUUGUUUUUGCGUUAACUUAACUAGCUUGCAAACCACCUGCAAAUGGUUUUAAAUAAUGUGUGAGAUUGUGAGUUCGAACGAAUUAAUCAAAUAUGAUGACAGGAGAAACAAAAUUGAAAUAAGCACAAGUAGAAGUAUACUUUUGUUAUAUUUAGAUAAUCUUCUACUGUCUUCUUUUCCUUUAGCUCUGUUUCUGUGUGUGCUCAAUCGCGAUGCCUCAAUCUUUUGCAGCCAUAUGCAGACUUGAAACACUGUGGUGUCCCUAAGGAACUUGAAAAUUAGAAAAGUUUCAGUAUGAGUGACCAAAUAUGAUAAUCGAAACUAAUUUAAUAGACACGUCUUGUAAAUCUGAAACUAAAUUACUCGAGUGUAUAUGCCUCUUGGCAGCAAUUGCUCGUGGUGGAAAGUUUACUGCAAAGACUUCCUCAAACCCGUGAAGCUCACACUCUUCCAGGCAACAAAGAAACAGAGUCAAUAUACGAAGAUGAUUUUACUAACAAGUGAGAGCUUGCAAAUAUUGGAAGGAUAACGAUUACUCAUAACCCAAAUCCCCAAUACCUUCUAAUAUCUCACUCACGUGAGUUCAAGCUCCCAAAAUUCAUUACAGUGAAACUCUCACAACAAAAUUGUCUUCAAAGAUUCUCUACUCAAAUUUGAUGAUGAUAUCUAGCACUGAUCAAAUUGGCUUGUGAACAAUUAAGCUGCUUAGUAUCCUUAACCUGAUAAACUUACACAAACAAAAACAACUUGCCUAAAGUUUAAUAUUUAGAGGCAGAACAAUAAAGAAGAAGAUAUAUAUUGAUACUAAAAUUUGACCUGUAUUACCCUGAUGUCAAGCAUCACGGCAUCUCAUGUGGGUAAAAUCUUCACAAUACGAGAUGCUUGCAAAAUUGAAGCAGCAUCUUAUCACCUGUAAUUUAAUUAAGACAAUAACUUUCCCCCACUAUUUCAAUGCAUUAUUGGCAACUACAUUCAGCGGGCGCUAAUUAAAUACCCUUUUAACAAUAUCUUCUUAUUCUUCUCCAAUCUAACAGUUAUUUGGAAAAUCUAAAUGACAGUCAUGCAUCAAUGGCGUCAAAGUUUGGCUACAAAGCAGCCUGGAAAAGGCUUCACUCUCUGAAUGAGAGCAUGAAUUCCAAAAAUAUGAUGAAUGAAGAAACAAAGGCAUAAUAUCACAAGUAAAACUUUUCCCCAGAGCUCUGUUUCUGUUUGUGCUAAAGCCAAUGGAAACCGAAGGAAAUGAAUUUCUACGAAUUAGACAUAUCAGCCAAAACAGGUACUCUGUACAAGCAAAGUAAAAGAGAGUUAAAAAAAAUUUAAGAUUGAUAUGAUAAUUAAAAUUUCAGUCACCAUAUAAUUAAUAGAAAACUUUGUACACAAUGAUUUAUUGCGUAAUAAGACUGCAUACCUAAAUUUUAAUUGCGAUACAAAAUAUGAUAUUAGCAUUAGGAGACCGCACCAAAACGUACCGUAUUGAAUGUGCCUUUUCACAACCAUUGUACAAGCUUUGAAGCUUUGGCACAAAUGCUUUUUCAAACCCAUGAACAUGAGGCACCCGAGAGAUGCAAGAUAUGAAAUUGUUACUACAGCAGGCAUUGAAACAUUUGUUAAGAAAGGAAGUUUAUGAAAAUAUGCCUUAACAUUCAUUAGAUACAUGUCUUCAGGAAUCAAUUCAUCUGUAAUAACAAUUUUCAAAGAGCAUUAACUGCUUUAAGCCCCUCAACAUCACAGAGAUCUUCAAUUAAAAUAGCGCAGAUCCGGCCAUCACUAUUACUUCUACUGCUCUUUUGCUUUAGAAAACCGUUGAACUACAGAAUGCGUGUAAGGCUUUCUUGUUUAAGGUCCAGCAAACCUUGCACAAUAACAACAGAGGCAGUGGUUCCAUCACCAGCCUAAUCCUUGGUCUCACCAAUGUUCUGCACGAGUAGGAAGUCAAUCUAAAAAAUAAGAAUGAGUUGCAAAAACUGUUUAUGGCCCUAAAGAACUUGAAAAUCAGAAAUGAUUAAGAAUGAGUGACUAAACAUUUUAAUCGAAUAAACAUACAAAACUUGAAAACCUAAUAUUGAAGUACUCUGAAUGAAUGUGCAAUUGCACGAGCUGGUGACAACUGACUUUACUGCAAAGGCUCUUUCAAACCCUUGGAGAUGAUACUCUACAUACCAUGAUAACCUGAUAAUACAAAGAAACACAAUGAAUAUUAAAGGAUAUUCUGACAACGCAAAUUUGUGCAAACUAUCAAGUGUGGUUACCUGCAUAAUAGUGUCAACACCAAACUCCUGCCUCCAUUGAUUCCAAGAAUGAAACAAGAUAGAAAUGAUGAUCUUAGCACCUUAACAUCAUGCAACAAUAAUCAUCAUGUCUUUCAGGCAGCUGUCAAUUGAAACAGAGCAGACCCAGCCAUCACUUCCUUCUUUAAAGUCCAGCAACCAAACGUUGCACAAUAACCACAGUGAUAAUUCUUGGUUACCCCAAUGUUCUCCAUAGAGUCUUCAACGUCAGCCUAAAAAUGAAAUAAAAAUGCAAUGCAGGUGGAAAUGAAAAUUCCAUAAACUAAAUAAAUAAAAAAUGCAAUGCUUGAGCUUGAGCUUGCUUUAAUGAUCAUAAUAUUGAAUUUUGAUAUAUCUUUACUUCUCUGAGGUUCAAUCAUUUACUUCUCUGUUCUUGUUUAUUCACAAGAAGUUAUCAAUAGAAGAAGAUGGAAAUGAAAUUCUAUGAAAUAAAGCAAGUGAAUUACCAGCAGAACAGUUUAGCAAUCCUUUGGCUAAACUUCUCAUUUUCUUAGCAUACUCUCCUGCCUGCAUCAUUAAAACCAAAUUAGAUUGGACCUGUGAAUUGCUAGUGUGGUUCUGACAUUUCCUCGAAUCCCUGGUGAACAUAAUUAAACUCGUAUGAAAUAAAACAAAGAGGGCUAAUGUACUACUAAAAACAAUUCCACAAUUACUUUAAAGAAUUAAUGUCACAUAAAUUAUAUAUAAAAAAAACGAUUAUCAUUAUGCAAGACAAAAUUGAUAACUAGGAAGUUUUACAUAUUUAUACCAUGAUUGAUUCUAUAUAGAACCAUUAAAUAAUAAAUAUGUUAGACUUACAUUUAUUUUUUAGCCCAAAAAGUAUGAGAGAAAUUAGUACUUUCCAAAUUUAUUUUUUGUACCGUAAAGAAUCAAAUUACUCAUAAAAUUAUUUUUAACUUUCAUGAUGCAAACAAACAAAUCAUCAUUAAUUUCAAUAGAAAGAAGUAUUCUAGGUGGAAUUGAUUUCUGGAGCAGAAUAUGAUGUAUUUGGGACUUCCUACUCUAUUAGAGAGGUUAAUAACAUGUUAAUUGUCACAUCAUUAGUUUUAGAUUAUAAAUUUUAUAUUCAAACUUUGUAUGACUGCUCCUUUUUCAUUUGAAAAAAAAAAUUAACUUCUAGCAUGAUCUAAUUAAUUGAUCUUAUUUCAAAAGAAUCAAAAAAAUAAAUAAAUAAAAUAAAGCAAUGCCAUAAUCUAAUUGGUCUUGUUAUUGACAUGUACUAAUGCAUUCUAUAUUUUUAACUUUGUACAUUUUAUUGAUAUGUACAAAUUGUCAAUGUUUGCAGUGUCGUUGUUUGAAGUAACAACAAAGUAAAAUAGAGGAGAGAAAUUACCGGUGGGUGAUAGUAAUUGCAACCAUUCGAGAAUUUACCGCCACUUGAUGUGGGGAAUGUGAGAUAUCUUAUGCCAGUCUUCUCCUUUCCCCUCUCGAUAACGGUUUUCCAGAAGAGGACAUCCCUGAAUACUCAAGUGCUGCAGCGUCGUCGUUUGAAGAAGGUAAUCCGGCAGCACCUUUAAUUUGGGGCAAUGCUUAAUUUUCAAGGAAGAAAGACGUGGCAUGAUGGAGAUGUUUUCCUUCCUCGUAAUCCUGUAAUUCCACUCUUCCAAUUCAUCCAAGAACCAAAUUUUGAGAGAUUUCAAUUUGGGGAAGGCAAUAACUGAUGAUGACGAUGAAGAUGAAGAUGGGUCGUCCCAAUAACUGCUUUCUUCUAUUCCUAAAAACUCAUUACCCACUCUUUUUACACCAAUCAAAUUGCAUAGGAUGAGUUUUUCCAGAGGCAAUUUUCCCAAAGGAGGCAAAUGCUCACAGUUAAAACACAAGGAAAGAUAUAAAUUCCUUAGAUUGGUUAGUGAAGUCAACCAUUUGGGAAAAAUGACGCCUCCAUAGGAUUCAAUCCAUAAUUCCUCUACAUUCAAAGGCGGUUGUAAGGCUUCAAGAAGUUGUUUAUCUUUCUCGUUCUUCCUCCUCCUUUCUUCGCCUUCCCCAUCUACGACUACACCAAACUCAAGACGCAAACGAAGGAGGUUUUUCUUAUUGUAAAGUUGUAACCUCUCAGCCUCAUCUACAUGCGAUACAUUACUCAGCCCUUCUAUUCCACAUUCUCGAAGGAGUUGAAGAUUUUUCAGAGAUUCAAGCCUACACGUGCUGCCACCAUCAACACCUCCACCCACAACAAACUUUUCUAAUGUUCGAAGGCUGGUCAAUCUGGAAAUCCCUAUUGGCAGGUACUUCAGCUUUUCAGUUUGAUCAUUCAGUAAACUCCUCAUGUUCUUUAACUUCCCAAUCCCCGCAGGCAAUUCUCUAAGAUAUUUGCACCGCCUAAUAUCUAGUUUUUGUAAAUUAUAUAAUUCACACAAAGUCUCAGGUAGUCUCGCUAUAUACAAUUUAGACAACUUAAGAUAUUUUAAAUGUAUCAAUUUUCCAACAUUAUCUGGAAUUUCUGUAAUCCAAUUUGUGUCUUCAUACAAAAGCUUGGUCGAUUGGCUUAUAACUAAUGCCCUUAAACAUGCCAAUUUACUAAAUAACUCCCGAAGGAUGCUACUGUUAAGAGAUAAAUUGACAAAACUUUGGUCAUAAAUUAAUAGGGUACGCAAUCUAUUAAGUCCAUAAAUGGUCAUAGGAAAUGAAGCUCCUCCUCCAAAAUUUAACCCUAAGUGACGGACUUUGUCACCAAAAAAGUUUAUGACUGAUUCCUUGGUACCAUUAAUUUCUAGCCACAAACAUUCUUUGCUACUUACAAAUUGGGCAAAAUCAUGUACUAUGUCAUGCAUCUUACACCACAUAAAAUCAUCAUCGUCAUCAUAUAUUUUAAACUCUUGAAAGAAAGAGCGUGUUGCUAAGAUGUUGAAAUACUCUUCUCCAAUCAUCUCCAUUUCUUCGUCUUCUUCUGCAUUAAGGUAACCUUGAGCCAUCCACAGAUCAAUCAACUCCUCUUUAUCCAUCUCGUAGUCUUUUGGAAAGACAACACAAUAUGAGAAACACCGUUUUACCAUAGAAUUGGAGGGCAAAUCGUUAUAACUCAACAACAAAGGAGCUAAAAGACCUUGCCCAAUCUCUUCUACUUUCCACAUUUCACUAUCUAAAAUUAUUUGCCACUCUUUUUCUGUAAUUUUAGAGCGCAAGAGAUUCCCUAUUACCUUUGCAGCAAGAGGCAGGCCUUUGCACUUCCGUGCAAUUUUUCUCCCGAUUGGUUCUAAUUUUUCACGAUCCUCAAAGGACCUACGUAGAAAUGCUAUCUGCUUAAACAGUAACCAACAUUCCCCUUCACCCAACUCCUUGACAGGGAUAAUAUCUAUUGAUCCCAACUGUAGUGCAACUGACCUAUCACGUGUGGUAAUUAGAAUUUUACUUUCAUGGCGGCCAUUCUUUAGACAAGAAAAGAAUAGGUCCCAUUUUUUGUAAUCUCCAUCCCACACAUCAUCUAAAACAAGAAAAAAUUUCUUCCCUGUAAUAUAUUCCUGAAUCUGUUUCAUAAGAGAUUCGAAUUCGCUUAAACCAGAAGCUGACACACCUAAACCUUCAAUGAUUGCUUUGGCGACCCUAAUCUCCUCAAAAGUGUCUGAUACACACACCCAUAUAACUUUGUCAAAAUUUCUUUUCACCUCAUCAUUAUUAUAGGCUAGUUGUGCAAGAGUGGUUUUACCUAUACCCCCUAACCCAACUAGUGAGAUGAUAUGAAGGCCUUCUUGUUGUUCACUACUUUCACACAACAACUUGCUUAAGAGCUUCUUUUUCUCAUCAUCUCUACCGCAAACCUCUCCCUCAUCAAUCAAGGAGAUGGUUCGCACUCGCUCUGGAUUCCUAACAUUGUUACUCACAUUCUCAACAAAAUUAAACCUAUCUUUUCGAGUGGCAAUAUCAUCUAGCUUUUCACUGAUUUCUCUAAUCUUGACAGCAAUAUGAUGACGAAGACUGAGUUGUUUGAAACCACCAAAGCAGUUUGAGGCAGCAGGAAAGAAGGAACAUACCUUCGUCAAAAAAGUAACAAAAGCACUGUCGUUAUCAUCAUCAUCAUCAUCGCCUCGCUCAUCAAGCUGCAAUUUCCGUGUUUCAGUGAUCCACUCUUCCAACACAUCUUCCAUGUCGUAGGAUGCGUCUCUGAGCUGAUCCAGCCAAAAAGUAACAGCUUUGUCCUGCUUCAUUUGCCUCUGCUCUGCAUCUUCCAGCACAGCUUGAAUGGCUUGAAGAUUGGUGGUAAGCUUUCCCACUUCAUGUUCGACACCCGUGACAAGCCUCCACUUUUCUUUCACCUGAUCUUGAGCAAUGGAUUUCAGCUGGUCCAGGAGAGAGGAAACGAUCGCAUGAGCCAUUCUGAUAUUAGAUCAAAUGGUAAAUGCUGCAAUUGCUUUUCGUGCUGCUUAAAUGCUCAGAGGAAAGUAGCUUUUAUGUAUUCUGAGAGAAUGUUCAUUCAAGCAUGUUUGGAUUCUUCUUAUACUAAUUGGAGAUAUUUUAAUUUUUACCCUCAAGUCAAUGUCAAUGUGAACGUUCUUUUGUGCUGCAAAUUGAAGGAGUCCCCACAGGAGUCACCGUCGUGGGCUAGCUUUCUGCGGAGUACACAGCAUCAGCACUUGUAAAAUUUCUUACAUUUGUAUUUAGUUACUUGCCGCUCUUAAGAUAAUUAGCAACAAAAUAUUUGUAAACUGCAACAAAAAGCUCAGUGCAAUCUAUCUAUGAAUCUUGUGAGUUCACAUAUAAUACAGUCGAUUUAGAAUAGUCAUAAAUUUUUUUUAAUUAUAAAUAGUAGUAUAUUUUUAAUGGUAUAAUAUAUAUCGAUGAAACUAUAUAGAGUAAUUUCGCCUAAUUGUAUAAAUUCAUUAUGAAUAUCAUCACAAAUUUGUAUUUGGUCGGGACCGUGCGAGUGAAAUUUUUGAUAAAAAUCAUCUCCUGACAAUUUAUUUAUUAUAUUUUUCAAUUUAGCUUUAACGUAUGGAUCCAUUCCUUUUAUUAUCAGGUAGGCCAAAGCCAUUUGGUCAUUUGAUCCAUUCCUUUUAUUAUCAGGUAGUUCAAAUUUGUAUGGAUCCAUUCCUUUAGUUGGGACUUGGAAUAAGAUUAAAGAAAAAAAAGUUAUCCAUUUAUGAGACUUUAAUUUAUGUCAUUAUUGUUUAUUUAUAUUUAAUAUUAAUCAUGAAAAUUAAUAAUACCAUCAAUUAAUUGAUUUUACAUACUUUUUUAAAUAUUUGAUAAGAAUUUGAUAAAAAAUUAAUUAAGUAUUUAAAUUUUUAUUCAUUUUUUUAUUUGUUUAUUUUAUUAUGAAUACCCAAUAACUUACAAUAUGAUUAAUUUUCUUAUUCAGACUACUCAGCAUCAGCUCCUGUAAAAUUUCUUACAUUAUAAGCAACAAAAUAUUUAUAAACUACAACAAAAAGCUUAGAUCAAUCCACCGAUGAACCUUUUGAAGUUAUAUAUAAUAUAUUAAUUAUUGAUCUAGAAUAGUCUUAGUGGAUAGAUUUUUUUAAUUAUAAAUAUCAAUAAAUUUUUUAUCGUUUAAUAGAUAUUGAUGAAAUAAUAUAGUGUAAUUUUGCCCAAUCAAAUUAAUCCAUUAUGAAUUUCAGCACAAAUUUGCAUGUGGUCUGGACCGUGCAAGUGAAAUUUUUUUAUUAUAUUUUUCAACUUGGCCGACAACAUCUUUUUGUCAGGUAGGCAAAAGCAAAAGCCAUUAUCUCUAUUAUGCCAUGACAAACUCCAAGAUCUAAUUUAGAGAGCGACAACUUUUGUUAUCAGGUAGGCAAAAGCCAUUGUCUCAUUAAUUCAUUUGGUCAUUUGAAAAAGUUGUGGCUCUGUUUUAGUCCAGUGUCAAUAUAUAACUUUAUUAUGUCAUCACAAACUUCAAAAUAUAGUUUAGAGUGUGACUCGAAUAAUUUUAAUUAGUAAUUUAUUAUAUCUACAGUCGGAUACUUUGUUGAGAAAAAAAAAAAAGAAUAAAAUCUGUCCCAUAAUGAUUUUAAUAAAUAUCAUACUAUCGUCCACGUACUUGGGCCAUCUUCAAUAUGACACCAAAUCUAACACCAAAUCACCUUUUGUAUCAUUUUUAGUAUAAAAUACUUCUCUAAUGUAACACUAAAAGCAACACCAAAAUAGUGUUAUGAAUAAUAUUGCAUCAAAUAUGGUGCAACACUAUUCAUUUGGUGCUAGGAAAAAAAAGUCCCAAAUAUCCUUACUACCUUUUCUUAUUUACAUAUAUGUCCUAUUUUAUAUAAUAUUUUAAGUUAUUAUUAUUAUUAUUUUUGUUAUUAUUUUUUUUUCAUUUUUUUAAUUUUUGAAUAUUAUACUAAAAUUUUAAAUAAAAAAUAUUUAACACAAAAAUUAAUAAUAAAAAGAAAAUGCCAAAUUUAAUAAUUUUCUAUAUUUCUUUUGUUAAUCGAUAUAAAAUUAUUUAUUACUUAAUUAUAUGUAUUAAUAGUAAUAUUUAUUGUGUUAAUUGAAUUAAUUCUUGAAAUUAAAAGAAUAAAAAGAAGAAUAUUCUUUUUGGUGUAAAUGGAUUGGAGAUGAAAUAGCAAUUUGGUGUGAAAAAAGUACAUUUUUGGUGUAGUAUCACUAUUGUGGUGAUACUAUAGUGACACAAGAUACUGACGCAAAAAUCACUGACACCAAAAAUUAGUGUCAGUGUGUUCUAGCUUGAGCAUUACUGACACAAUUAACAAGUGUCAGCAAAAGUAAUUACUGACACUAAAGUGGUGUCAGUAAAGCCCAUUUUUCUAGUAGUGAAUUUUUAACUCAAUCGCAGGGCAUAAUAGCCUAGGUUGUUCUGCAUUUGGUUCGACUCAUCGCAAGCUUGGAAACUAUAUUAUAUGUCCAAAACGAAUACUCGUAACCCAAUUUCUAGCCUCGGAAGAUACCCUGCUUAUUCCAUGCAACAAUCUUAUAUCAACUUGCCUUCUCUGCAUCUUCAAGCACAACUUGAAUGGCUUGAAGAUUUAUGGUAAGUCACAAGCAGCAAAGGAGUUCAGCUGCUCCGGGAGAGGGGAAGCGAUCACAUCCAUUCUGGCAAAGAAAAGGAGAAAUAAUUUCAUAAGUUGUUCAACGUGCUUUUGUUGCAAAAAUACUGAAAGAAACGAGUUGUUGCAUUCUUCUUACACUACACGAAAAAUGUUUAUGGUUAUUGUCGCCUAACCCACGCGUCAAUAAUUUUAGCAUUUUUAAUUUUCCUGAUUCUACUCCACAUCUGUGAUACAUAAUUGUAAAUAUUCUCUAAUUAAUUUGUAGUGGUCGGGCCAGUGCCAUUUAAAACGAAAACAAAAAACCAAAAGAAAAAAAAAACAAAAGUUGGAAAAAAGCAUGCAUCACCGAUAAUUCAUUUAUUUAUUUGAGGACGGGGAUAUUUUCUACCUACUUAUUUUACAAAUCUACCUCGCUGUCAGAAAAUAAUUGUAAUACGUUCAUACUAUUUUUAAAAUAUAUAAAUCAAUAAAACGUAUAGACAAUCAAUAAAUUAAAUCAUUCAUAUAAUUUUUUAUUUUUUUAACUUAGGUGUCUUUGACCAUUUAGGUUGCUUUAAGAUAAGUUUUAUUUGACUAAUUUACCAUGAUAAUAUAAAAUGACUAAAAUACCCCAAGAAUCAAGAGUUCUUGUAUAUAAUAGUUUAGGUAUUUUAUUUUAUUUGAUUCAAUCUCCAAACUUAUUGUAAUUACAUCUUCUUUAUUUCAAUUUUUAAAAAAUAAUUUGAACUUAUUGUAAUUAUUUCUUGAGAGUGGGGUGGGUUUACAAAAAUUAUGGGCCUUUUCGUUUAUUAAUUCUUGGAAAUUAAUGGCUCCGUAAUCAAUUUCUUUUGUUCUUUUAUUUAAAUAGAAAAGAAAAAUUAAGAGGAGCUUUUGUCUAUUGAAUUGAGGUUCUGUGAAGAAAAAUACGUAUCAAAUGAUCGACGGAUUGUACUUUUCAAUUUUUUACUUCACAGUACUUUUCUUUAUUUGCUGGGUCAUUUAUGUUUUUUUGGACGGAUUUAAGUGUGCUUAUACAUUUUAUUGAAUUUUAUUUUGAUAAAAUCACCAACGAUCAGAAGAGAUUUACACUACCUAUCUGAGUAUUUGGUUCUCUAAUGUAAGGAAGCAUGUAAUCUUUCGCCAAUAAUUUUUUAUUUCAUCAAAAUGUUAAAAUGUUGAAAGGAGAAUUAGAUUUAUUUUUUAUAUAAAAAAGAGAAUUAGAGUUCAUAUUGUAGAAAAUUCUUUUUCCUACUAUAAGUCCAGUUCGAAUCUUUGAAGCAAAUGAUCUAAUCUCAAGCAUAGAAAGUAGGAAGAUCGAUUGAACAGCGGACACAUUAACAAAAAAUAAUUACUUUAAAAAGUUAAUAUUGGAUAUCACAAAACUUUUAUUAUUAUUAUUGUAAGUUGGUAUGUUGAAAAAUAAACAAGCUUUAUAUGAACUUUAAACACAGAUAAUAAUUUGCACGUAGUAAAAUUGCUUAAUACAUCCAUUAUUUUAUCAUUUUUAACUUUAUCUAUCGGUUAUUUUCAUUUUGAAAAUAUAGGAUAAAUGAAAUAAUAACAAACACAUAUUUCAAUUGAAAAUUUAUCAACUUGAAAACACCAUUUUCAUUCUCAUAAUAUGAAUUUAAAAAUAAAAUACAGAACAUGCCCUAACAUUUUCUGAAUUUAUUUUUAUACCGUAAAAGAAUCAAAUUACUCACACAAUUAUUUUAGCUUUUAUGAUAUAAACAAAUAAUCAUUAUUUAAAUUCAAUAGAAAGAGGUAUUCUUGGUAGAAUUGACGUCUUUAGCAAAAUAUAAUCUAUUUGGGACUUCUUACUCCAUUAGGUUAAUUGGCUCAUCAUUAAUUUUCGAUUAUAAACUUUAUAUUCGAACUUUGUAAGACCAUCAUUUCUCCCUUUUUAUUUUAAAAAAAAAAUUAACUUCUUGCAUGAUCUAGGUGGUCUCCUUUCAAAAGAAACCAAAAAAAAAAAAAAAACUAAAAUAAAAGGAAAUAAAGCAUAUUCUUUAUCUUAAUUACUUUCAUUUGUUAUUGACAUGUACUCAUGCAUUGUGGUCUUUUGUAUACUUUAUCGAUAUGUUUUGCUUAAGGGAUAAAACUCAUUAUGUGGCAAAAUUUUAUUAGAGCUGGGAUUAUUUAUCUGUGUUCUAGUACUUUGAGCAUCUUACUAUACACUCGUCUAUAAAAUUUUAACAUUAAUUUUUACUACUCAUCGAAAUAUCAAAAUAGUCCUUACUAAACAUCUCUCAUUAAUGUUCUGUAACGUAUGUGAAAAAAAAAUAAUAAUAAUAAGAGGAAGCUGGGUAAUGUUUUAUGGGCGAGAGGGAUAGAGGAAGCUGUCAAACCGACCCGGAAAACCCGACCCAAAACUGCGAACCCGACCCAGACAUAUCUCCGAUUUUCGGCCACCUCACCGGCCAUGGAUGGUAGCAACGAAAGCUCCUGAGCCAGCCAUCACUUUCCCACCGUCACUGUCGCCAAAAACCAACCGAAACGCCGCCGUUUGAAGCGCGAAUAGUCGCAGCCAAAACCUAUCACGACCGUCGUUGAUUCCGUCGGAAUUAGGCCAUGCCAGACGGAGAAAUGGUAGGGGGUAAACAGAGUUUGUAACGGAGGUGGGGUAAAUGGAGGAUGAUGUAGAGAGGGCAACCAACGGCCAUGAUGAGGGAGAGGAGGAGGAGGAGGAGGAGGAGGGUGAGGUUAUGGACGGCUGUGAUGGGCUUGAGGAUGUGGGGUCCAAUGAGAGGUGAUGAUGGUGGUGAUGUUGAUGUUGAUGUGUGGUAGAGGAUGAAUGUGAGGGAAAGGUAAGUGAGGAUGGAGAGAUACGUAACUAUUAUUUAUUGAAAAUUAAUUCUUUAAAUACUUUAAAAUGUAAAAUUAUUAAAUAAAAAUUCAUUCUAUUGUUGUUAAUUCACAAAAUUUUAAUUCAAUUAUAACAUUUCUACUUAUUUUUUUAAGUUAAAUUAUAUCUUUUUUAUUUUUUUUUCUAAAUUAAACUAAUUUUUCUAUUCUUCUAUUGUCUAAAGUUUUUCGACAUAGUUUUAUUUCAAAAUAGAUAAAACAAGCACAAAAAAAAGUGAUGAAUAAAAGAAUAUAUUAAAAAGAAAUAAGAACAAAUAACAACACAACUAAUUAAGAGAAUAAUAAAAAGAUAAAAUCAUAAAUUUGAGAUGAAAUCAUAAAUUAACUUAUAUUUAUAUUAAGGCUAUUGUUUGAAAAUUUGAGUAACGACCAAUAGUCAUAGAAAAUAGAGAAAACUAUUAGAUUUUUUCUUUUUCUUCUAUAGUAAAAAGUAGAGGAAGCAAGAUUUUUUCCCCUCUCUCUCUUUCUUUCUCUCAAACACCAAGAUGUCUUCAUUAUUGGAGGAAAAAUUUAAUGGAUAAGUAAUAAAAUGUAGGGCUUUUAUAGAGGUUCAAAAUAAAUAUAAAACUUUUGAAAUAUAACUUAUUAAUUUUAACAAUGAAAUAGAUAAUUUUUAGGAUUGAAACGAUUAAUUUAUUGGUUUUGUAGAAAUUAAAACAAUUAAGUACUACAUUAAAUACACUUUAUAGGAAUUUGAUAGUUUAUUUAGAAAAAAGAUAAUUACAAAAUAAUAAUAAAUUAAAUGAAUAAUAAUGACUUUUAAAUUCAUUUUCCUCUUUUAUAUACAAAAUAAUCAUCUCAUAGGACUUUUAUAUAAAGUGGAGUUCUAUGCAACUGCCUAAGUUGCCUAGAGGUCGAGCCGCUACUGAUUACAAGCCAAUAUUGGAGUGUUGAGGUAACUAGAUAUGAAGCCAUGGCUGGUUUUUGGGGGAGAAAGAUUUGGAAGAGAUUAUGUUGAGAGGAACGGGGGAGUUCAUAAAGUUUUAGGAUAAUGUGGAGGGUAUUUUGGACAUAUUACCGUCUUAGCUUAAAUUUUGGGAAAAAGAUAAUCAAUAAUAAACUAUUUUUUCAUAUCAAUUUAAAACUCCGAGUGUGUCUCCAAAAAUUGUUUUCUUUUUUUUAUUAUUUUGGAUUUUAAAUCUUAAAUUUAGUAAAGGAAGUUAAAUCAAGUGAUCACUUUUUUUUUUCAUGCAAAGCAAUUAAUCUUUUUUGUAAUUUAAGCAAAUAUUGGGUUGCGUACUUUAACAAUAUUAAUAUUUGAUUCGAAAUUUCAUCUACCGAAACUACAAAAAUUAUUAUUUUCUAUUAAAUCAAAAACAAAAUUAAGAAAUAACUUAUUAUCUGCCAACUGUCAUUCAACAAAGCCAUCACUCAUGCAAAAAAGGGAAAAAAAAAGUGAUAUAUUCAUUUUAACGUAAUUUCAUACCAACAUAUCAUCCUUUUCUUUUGAACAAUGACCUCUUCAAUAAUAAAAUAUGGUAAAAGAGGAUGGGUUUCAGGUCUGGCGUCCGGGCCUUGGUGACAAUGGCAUCUUCUGCUCAAUCAAACUUGUGGAUUACGUGCACUCAACGUCGACAAUAUGGAAAUGGGAGAAAAUUAUGUUGAGUAACAUCUUGUAUGGUCAACGCGUCGAGUAUGGACUUGCAUGAUCGAGUCAGUACAACUAAAGUCGGGUAGAGUUUGGUAAAUCUCUAUAUUGGCUUGAGGUUGGACAACUAUACCUUUUAAGCUACAUAUUUAAACAAUUUUAGUAAAUAUUUACUAUUUUGAUUUAAAAAUUAAUUUGAUUUGAUCUCAUAUUUUAUUAUUAAAAAAUUUAUAAUAUCUUUAAUAAUUUUAUUAAAUUAUUAUUUAAAAGUCAUACAUUUACUGCACAUUAUCAACUUUCUGCUAUUUUUUUUGUUCUCACAACAGCUAGUAAUAUCAAACAAGAGCUAAGUUAAGUAUGAUCAAUUAAUUAAAGUUUUGAUUUUUUGUAUAAAAUAAUCCUUAGAUAAUUAGUCUAUAUAGAAUAUUGGCUACUUCAAAUGGAAACUUGUGAUCAAAAGUGUAAUUCCCUCUAUCAGUGAACUAUACUUGCCAGGAAAUUAACCCCAGGCGAGUACCACCACCUCCUACUAUUUCUUAGGUGUCUCAGAGUUUGAUGAGGACUUCCAUGACGUGUCUCUUCGACAGGCAGCGAAAUUGGGCAAUUGACUACAUUAACUCCAACAAAUUUAUGCAGUCACCUUCCUCCGGACUAUCCUCUUUCUUCGCGCUUUAGUUGCCCUUAUUUCCCCUUUAAUACAGUCAACAUUAUCUUGUUUGAUGCCAAGGAGACCAAGCCCAGAAACAAUGGCAUUCUUUGAUAUCAACCACCUGGGGACUUUUGAGCUGAGCCAUGACAUCCUGAGAUGGCCUGUUGUGUAAGCCUUCUUCAAAAGGUCAUCCGUUAAUCUUUCUCCUAAUUAGACAUUCAAAACCCUGCAUGGAAUCGAUUUGAGAAGUUGGACAAUAGACAAACUCCAACACAUAUAGACAGUAAAGAAGAAUUUAGACCGCAAUCACUGUGGCUCAACAAAUGGGCCUAUUAAAGCCUAUUAAAAGUUGGAACCAUAUUCACCACUCGCAUUUCCUUAAGAGAGCUAUACCAGAAUUCUGUAAAUUUAAAACUUUUCUUACAUAAUUAACUGUAAAACAAGAGAAAUUGUACUUCCGUAGCAAAGUCUCACUAUUGGUAAGUAUCUGGACUUGGAAAGGAUGCUAGUUGAUGAAGUAAAGGAAAAUUGAAAUCAGACUUUGAGGUGACAGAUCUAUACACUUCAAUAGGAACCACAUUGACAUCAUAUGAGACAAAUAAACAUUCCCCAGUCAAAGUUUAACAAACAAAACAUUAAAACAAGAGUAGGUUGGUCUAUCAAUGUAUAUAUAGACAUGUCGAUCAAUAGACAAAUACGUAAAAGAGGGAGGGAGAGACCUCAAAGCCGUGCUACUCCAAUAACUUCAAAAUUGUUCGUGACCACUCUAUCAAAUCCACGCAAUAGUUGCAUACACUCACCGAUGGGUUUGUCACAGAUAACCUGUUAGGCAUUAAAAAUUGCCCAAAUUAAACAAAUGUUAGACCAGCUUAGACAGUAAACGGAACAAUAUUCUAAUUUUACUUUAUUUAUAACGAAUAAGUGAACAAAGGAAUAAAAAGGAAUUUUGGCAAAGAAUCCUGCAGCUAAUCCCACCAUACACCGCUCUGCAGGCUUAUUUGGGAGUCAAAAUUCUCAAAAUGUACUAAGAAAUGACAUUUGUUCACUAAUCCCACCAACAAGGAGGAAGUGACGUGAAGAGAAUUUACUAAGAAAUGCCAGUGUAUUAAUAUUGAAGGAAAACAUUCACUGACGACCAAAAUCGCUGAUAUAUGCUUAAUUUCUCACUCACUAAGAACGUUCAAUUCAUUCAAAUGAAACUUCCACAGGAAGGUCUCAUUAUUAAGGCUUUAGCUUCACCUCACAUGCUCAACAAUUCAAAUUUGAGGAUGAUAUUUCUCCAAAUGGAGGGCUCUAUUUGGCUUGCCAACAAUCUUCCUCACAACUAUCAUCCUUGCUAUAUCGGUUGCACUGAGCAAUCUUCAUUCUGACAUUUGCCCUAUUAACCUGAGUACACAAGAAUCCGAAACAACUGUUAGAAAUUUUAAUCUUUAUAUACAGCCAAAAUGGUGAAUAAGAUGAUGUACUGAUAAUAAAUACCUGAGUUAAUAAAUAAUUAAGGGGCCGGUAACAAUCUCAGCAUCUUAUCAAGUGGGGAAAGCCUUCGCAACGAAGAUGCUGCUUGCUUUCAAGCAAUAAUAACUUUCCAAUUCCAUAAGAUAGCUUAAUGCCCUUUUAAGAAUAUCUCCACCAGCCUAACAAUUAUUCAUGGAAAUCCAAUUUGCAUUUGUCGCCUUCAAUUUUCUCAUCUUUGUCUAGAGUAUUGUUUUUGCAUUAACUUAGCUAGCUUGCAAACCACCUGCAGAUGGUUUUAAAUAAUGUGUGAGAGUGUGAAUUCAAACGAAUUAAUUAAAUAUGAUGACAGGAGAAACAAAAUUAAAAUAACCACAAGAAGUAGAAAUAUACUUUUGUUAUAUUCAGAGCAUCUCCUACUGUCUUCAUUUCCCUUAGCUCUGUUUCCUUUUGAGCUCGAACGCAAUGCCUCAAGGCUCAAGAUAAUUUGAUGACCAUCAAUCUUUUUGCAGCCACAUGUAGACUUGAAAAACUGUUGGCGGCCCUAAAGAACUUGAAAAUUAGAAAAGAUUCAGAAUGAGUGACUAAAUAUUAUAAUCAAAACUAAUUAAACAAACGCGCCUUGAAAAUCUGAAACUGAAUUAAUCAAAUGUAUAUGCCCCUUCACUGCAAUUGCACGUGGUGGAAAUUUUACUGCGAAGACUUUCUCAAACCUUGAAGAUCACACUCGGCCUGACAACAAAGAAACAAAGUCAAUAUACGAAGAUGAUUUUACUAACAAGUGAGAGCUUACAAAUAUUUGAAGGAUAACGAUCACUCAUAACCCAUAUCCCCAGUAUUCCCUAAUAUUUCACUCAAGUGGGUUCAAGCUCCCAAAAUUCACUACAGUGAAAUGUCAAAACAAAACUCUCUUCUCAAAUUUGAUGAUGAUAUCUCUCGAAGGGAGGCAAAAGAAUCUAACACUGAUCAAAUUGGCUUGUGAACAAUUAAUCUUCCUCGCCAUCAUUCAUACCAGGUGCGGUGAACAAUCUUCAUUCUGACAUUUGCCUUAAUAAGCUGCUUAGUAACCUUAACCUGAUAACUCACACAAACAAAAACAACUUGCCUAAAGUUUAAUAUUUCGAGCAGAACAGUAAAGAAGAUGAUAUCUAUUGAUGCUAAAAUUUGACCUGUGUUACCCUGAUGUCAAAAGUCAUAGCAUCUCAUGUGGGCAAAAUCUUCGCAACACGAGAUGCUUGCAAAAUUGGAGCAGCAUCUUAUCACCUGUAAUUUAAUUGAGACAAUAACUUUCCCCAACCAUUUCAAUGCAUUAUUGGCAACUAAAUUCAGAGGGUGCUAAUUAAAUACCCUUUUAACAAUAUCUUCUUAUUCUUCUUCAAUCUAACAAUUAUUUGGAAAAUCUAAAUGACAAUCAUGCAUCGAUGGCAUGAAAAUUUGGCUACAAAGUAGCCUGGAAAAGGCUGCUCUCUGAAUGAGAGCAUGAAUUCAAACAAAUAUGAUGAAUGAAUAAAUAAAGGCAUAAUACCACAAGAAGUAAAACUUUUCCCCAGAUUUCUGUUUCUGUUUGUGCUAAAACCAAUGGAAACCGAUGGAAAUGAAUUUCUACGAAUUAGACAUAUCAGCCAAAACAGGUACUCCGUACAAGCAAAGUAAAAGAGGGUUACAAAAAAUUUUAAUAUUGAUAUGAUAAUUAAAAUUAUAAUGAAAAUUUCAGUUACCAUAUAAUUAAUAGAUAACUCUGUACACAAUGAUUUAUUGCAUAUUAAGAUUGUAUACCUGAAUUUUAAUUGCUAUACAAAAUAUGGUAGUAUCAUUAGGAGACCGCACCAAAUGUACCGAAUUGAAUGUGCCUUUUCACAGCCAUUGUACAAGCUUUGAAGCUUUACCACAAAUGCUUUCUCAAACCCGUGAUCAUGAUGCACCCGAGAGAUGCAAGAUAUGAAAUUGUUACUACAGCAGGCAAUAACCACAGUGUUAAAACAAAUGUUUAUACAGGAUAAAUGAUUCCAAGAAUGAAACAAGAUAGCAAUGAUGAUCUCAGCACCUUAACAUCACGCAAUAAUAAUCAUCAUGUCUUUCAAGCAGCUAUCCAUCCUCAAUUGAAACAGAGCAGAUCCGGCCAUCACUUCCUUCUUCAAAGUCCAGCAACCAAACGUUGCACAAUAACCACAGUGAUAAUCCUUGGUUACCCCAAUGUUCUCCAUAGAGUCUCCAAAGUCAAUCUAAAAAUGAAAUGCAGGUGGAAAUCAAAAUUCUAUUAACUAAAUAAAAUAUAAAGUGCAAUGCUUGUGCUUGAGCUUGCUUUAACAUCAUCAUAAUAGCGAAUUUUGAUACACCUUUACUUCUCUGUGGUUCAAUCAUUUACUUCCCUGUUCUUGUUUAUUCACAACAAGAUAUCAAUAGAAGAUGAUGGAAAUGAAAUUCUAUAAAAUAAAGCAAGUGAAUUACCAGUAGACCAUUUUAGCAAUCCUUUGGCUAAACUUUUCAUUUUCUUAGCACACUGUCCUGCAGUACUGCCUGCAUCAUUAAAACCAAAUUAGAUUGGACCUGUGAAUUGCUAGUGUGGUUCUGACAUUUCCUCGAAUCCCUGGUGAACAUAAUUAAACUCGUAUGAAAUAAAACAAAGUGGGCUAAUGUACUACUAAAAACAAUUACACAAUUACUUUAAAGAAUUAAUGUCACAUAAAUUAUAUAUAAAAAAAUACGAUUAUCAUUAUACAAGAUAAAAUUGAUAAUUUAGUUUUCGACAUUACUGCAAAUGUAUGAAGGAGAUUUUGUCACUCAGGAAGUUACACAUAACAAAUUUCCGUACAUUAAAAAAUAAAUUACAUUGGGAUUUUCUAUGAUGUUGUAUGAAAUUUUACAAAAAAGCACAUAUUUUUUAAAAGUAAAUAAAUAUAGAAAUUUCAACAGACUAAACUUGUAUUUUUUUUUUAUUUAAUCUUUAGAAAACAAGUUUAACAUAUUUGAUAACUAGGAAGUUUUACAUAUUUAUACCAUGAUUGAUUCUAUAUAGAAUUAUUAAAUAAUAAAGUAAUGCCAUAAUCUAAUUGGUCUUGUUAUUGACAUGUACUCACGCAUUCUAUAUUUCUAACUUUGUACAUUUUAUUGAUAUGUACAAAUUGUCAAUGUUUGCAGUGUCGUUGUUUGAAGUAACAACAAAGUAAAAUAGAGGUGAGAAAUUACCGGUGGGUGAUAGUAAUUGCAACCAUUCGAGAAUUUACCACUCGGACUCGAUGUAGGGAAUGUGAGAUAUCUUAUGCCAGUCUUCUCCUUCCCCCUCUCUAUAACGGUUUUCCAGAAGAGGACAUCUGUGAAUAAUCAAUUCCUGCAGCGUCGUCGUCCGAAGAAGGUAAUCCGGCAGCACCUUUAAUUUGGGGCAAUACCCAAUUUCCAAGGAAGAAAGACGUGGUAUGUCUGUUGUCUUGCGAUCUUCUAGAAUGGGCAGUUCUUCUAGAAGAUCACAAAAAUAAAUACGCAGUUCCUGCAGUGCCGUCGAUUGAAGAAGGUAAUCCGGCAGCGCCUUCAAUUUGGGGCAACCUCUAAUCCACAAGGAAGAAAGACGGGGCAUGAUGGAGAUGUUUUCCUUCCUCGUAAUCCUGUAAUUCCACUCUUCCAACUCUUCCAUUCCCCCAAUGUCGAGUGAUUUUAAUUUGGGAAAGGCAGUAACUGAUGAUGACGAUGAAGAUGAAGAUGGGUCAUCCUCACUGCUUUCUUCUAUUCCCAAAAACUCAUUACCCACUCUUUUUACACUUUUCAAAAUGUAUAGUUGGAGUUUUUCCAGAGGUAAUUUUCCCAAAGGAGGCAAAUGCUCACAGUUAAAACAAAACCAAAGAUUUAAUUCCCUUAGAUAGGUUAGUGAAGUCAACCAUUUGGGAAAAAUGUCGCCUCCGUAGAAACAAAUCUGUAAUUCCUCUACAUUCAAAUGCGGUUGUAAAGCUUCAAGAAGUUGUUUAUCUUUCUCAUUCUUCCUCCUCCCUUCUUCGCCUUCCCCAUCUACGACUCCAUCAAACACAAGAUGCAAACGAAGGAGGUUUUCCAUAUUGUGAAGUCCUAUUCUCUCAGCCUCAUCUAAAUGUGAUACAUUACUCAGCCCUUCUAUUCCACAUUUACGAAGGAGUUGAAGAUUUUUCAGAGAUUCAAGCCUACACGUGCUGCCGCCAUCAACACCUCCACCCACAACAAACUUUUCUAAUGUUCGAAGACUGGUUAAUUUGGAAAUCCCUAUUGGCAUGUACUUCAAUGAAUAAGUUUGACCAUUCAGUAAACUCCUCAUGUUCAUUAACUUCCCAAUCCCCGCUGGCAAUUCUCUAAGAUUUGGGCACCGCCUAAUAUCUAGCUUUCGUAAAUUAUAUAAUUCACACAAAGUCUCAGGCAGUCUCUCUAUACAUAAUUCAGAUAAAUUAAGAUAUUUUAAAUGUAUCAAUUUUCCAAUAUUUUCUGGAAUUUCUCUAAUGAAAUUUGGGCUAGGAUGAGAAAAUGAGGACAACUGUCUUAUAACUAAUGCCCUUAAACACGCCAAUUUACUAAAUAACCCCGGAAGGAUGCUACUACGAAGAGACGGACCUUUAUCAUAAAUUAAGAGGGUCCGCAAUCUAUUAAGUCCAUAAAUGGACAUAGGAAGUGGAGCGCCUCCUUCAAAAUUUAAUCCUAGGUGACAGACUUUGUCACCAAAAGAAUUUAUGACUGACUCUUUGUUACCAUCAAUUUCUAGCCACAAACAUUCUUUUCUACUUACAAAUUGGGCAAAAUCAUGUACUAUGUCAUGCAUUUUACACCUCAUAAACUCAUUAUCGCCACCGUAUGUUUCAAACUCUUGAAAGAAAGAGUGUGUUGCUAAGAUGUUGAAAUACUCUUCUCCAACCAUCUCCAUUUCUUCGUCUUCUUCUGCAUUAAGGUAACCUUGAGCCAUCCACAUAUCAAUCAAUUCCUUUUUAUGCAUAUAGUGGUCUUUUGGAAAGACAGCACAAUAUGAGAAACAUUGUUUUACCAUAGAAUUAGAGGGCAAAUCGUUAUAACUCAACAACAAAGGAGCCAAAAGACCUUUCCUAAUCUCUUCUACCUUCCACAUUUCACUCUCUAAAAUUCUUUGCCACUCUUUUACUGUACAUUUAGAGCGCAAGAGAUUCCCUAUUACCUUUACAGCAAGAGGCAGGCCUUUGCACUUGCGUGCAAUUUUUCGUCCGAUUGGUUCUAAUUUUUCACAAUCCUCGAAAGAGCGACCGAAAAAUGCCAACCGCUUGAACAACAACCAGCAUUCCUCUUCAGCUAGUUGUUCAAUGGAGAUAAUAUCUAACUCUAUUGUUCGCAUCAUACGUGCAACUGACUCAUUACGUGUGGUAACCACAAUUUUACUUCCAGGAAGACCAUUCUUUAGACAAAAGAAGAAUUGAUCCCAUAUAUUAUAAUUCCCAUCCCAUACAUCAUCUAAGACAAUAAAAAUUUUUUUUCCUUCAAUUGAUCUAUGGAUAUGGCUCAUAAGAGAUUGGAAUUCGCUUAAACCAGAAGCUUCUUUUGACUCGCCUAGUCCUUCAAUAAUUGCUUUGGCGACCCUCAUCUCAUCAAAAGUGUCUGAUACACACACCCAUAUAACUUUUUCAAAAUUUAUUUUCACCCCAUCAUUAUUAUAGGCUAGUUGUGCAAGAGUGGUUUUACCUAUACCCCCUAACCCAACCAGUGAGAUGAUAUGAGGAUGUUGUUCGCCACUCUCACCCAACAACUUACCUAACAGCUCAUUUUUCUCGUCAUCUCUACCAAAAAUCUCUCCCUCAUCAAUCAAGGAGGUGGUUGGCACUCGCUCUGAUUUCUUAACAUUGUUACUCACAUUCUCAACAAAUUUAAACAUAUCUUUUCGAGUGGCAAUACCAUCUAGCUUUUCACUGAUUUCGCUAAUCUUGACAGCAACAUCAUCACGAAGAAUGAGUUGUUUGAAACCACCUAAGUAGUUUGAGGCAGCACGAAAGAAGGAACAUACCUUCUUCUUAGGAGGAGCAAGAGCAAGAGCAUCGUCAUCAUCGCCGCCCUCAUCAAGCUGCAAUUUCCGUGUUUCAGUGAUCCACUCUUCCAACACAUCUUCCAUGUCGUAGGAUGCGUCUCUGAGCUGAUCCAGCCAAAGAGUAACAGCUUUGUCCUGCUUCAUUUGCCUCUGCUCUGCAUCUUACAGUACAGCUUGAAUGACUUGAAGAUUGGUAGUAAGCUUUCCCACUUCUUGUUCGACACCCGUCACAAGCCUCCACUUUUCUUUCACCUGAUCUUGAGCAAUGGAUUUCAGCUGGUCCAGGAGAGAGGAAACGAUCGCAUGAGCCAUUCAGAGGAAAGUAGGUUUUAUGUAUUCUGUGAGAAUGUUCAUUCAAGCAUGUUUGCAUUCUUCUUAUACCAUAUGAGAUAUUUAAUUUUUACCCUCGAGUCAAUGUCAAUAAUUGUACAGCGUCUGCCCUGUUUCUCUGAUUCAUAAUAAUUCAUUGUUAAUUCUGCAGAGUACACAGCGUCAGCACUUGUGAAAUUUCUUACAUUUGUAAAAUCAUGCAGCCGACCCUUGUGAACUAACUAAUUAACUAAAUUUUCUUACAUUGUCAAUAAGUUAUGAUUAUUGUGAAUUUUCCAUCCCCUAUAUAAAUUCUUAGAUUUAUUUAAAUUGUGAGUCAUAGAAGUAUAUUACCUAAAUUAUUUUAUCAGGCCAUGUUCCGAUACUAGGAGUAAGUACGGAAUUGGACUAAUUUUGUGAUUAUCUAUUUAUCUCAUAUUUGAUAAGCUUAAUUGAAUUGGAUUUAGGAACCAAAUUUAAAUUUAAUCCUAAAAUUAUGGAAUUGAUAAUCCUAAUUUACGCAUAACUUUAGUUGGGAUAAAAUUAAAGAAAAAAAGUUAUCCAUUUAUGAGACUUUAAUUUAUAUCAUUAUCGUUUAUUUAUGCUUAAUAUUUAUUUAUUUUUUUUAAUUUAUGAUUUACUUAAAAUUUAUUUUUAUUUAUUAUCUAUCAUCUGAUUAAAUUAGAACUUUACUUCUACUAACUCUUGAUAUUAAUUUUUCAUUACUUGCAUAUUUGAUAAUUUGUCAAUAAAAUUAACCAUUUAAUAAUUUAUUGCAUAAUAGAUUGUAUUAAACUUACUAAUCACUAAAAAAAUAUUUAAAAUCAUCAUGAAAAUUAAUAAUACCGUCAAUUAAUUGAUUUUAUAUACUUUUUUAAAUAUUUGAUAAAAAAUAAUUAAGUAUUUAAAUUUUUAUUUCAUUUUUUUAUUUGUUUAUUUUAUUAUGGAUACCCAAUAACUUGCAAUAUAAUUAAUUUUCUUAUUCAGACUACUCAGCAUCAGCUCCUAUAAAAUUUCUUACAUUAUAAGCAACAAAAUAUUUAUAAACUACAACAAAGGGCUUAAAUCAAUCCACCGAUUAACCUUUUGAAGUUAUAUAUAAUAUAUUAACUGUUGAUCUAGAAUAGUCUUAGUGGAUAGAUUUUUUUUAAUUAUAAAUAUCAAUAAAUUUUUUUUAUCGUUUAAUAGAUAUUGAUGAAAUUAUAUGGAGUAAUUUCGCCCAAUCAUAUAUAUUAUAACAAAAGUUGGAAAAGAGAAAAAUAAAACAAAAGUUGGAAAAAUCAUGCAGUCGUUGGGAAUUUCGAAAUUUGAGAAUUUUGCCCGUAGCUACAGGCUGCAGCGAUUUUUGACUUUCAUGAUGCAAACAAACCAAUCAUCAUUAAUUUCAAUAGAAAGAAGUAUUCUAGGUGGAAUUGAUUUCUGGAGCAGAAUAUGAUGUAUUUGGGACUUCCUACUCUAUUAGAUAGGUUAAUAACAUGUUAAUUGUCACAUCAUUAAUUUUAGAUUAUAAAUUUUAUAUUCAAACUUUGUAUGACUGCUCCUUUUUCAUUUGAAAAAAAAAAAAAAAAUUAACUUCUAGCAUGAUCUAAUUAAUUGAUCUUGUUUCAAAAGAAUCAAAAAAAUAAAUAAAAUAAAAUAAAGUAAUGCCAUAAUCUAAUUGGUCUUGUUAUUGACAUGUACUAAUGCAUUCUAUAUUUCUAACUUUGUACAUUUUAUUGAUAUGUUUCUCUUGAGAGAUAAGAAUCAUUAUGUGGCAAAAUUUUAUUAAAGCUGGGAUUAUUUAUGUUCUAAUACUUUGAACAUUAAUUUUUAAUCUACUCUUUAGAAUACAAAAAUAAUCCUUACCUAAACAUCUUUCAUAAAUGUUUUUUGCUGGGGCUGCUAAAAUUCAUAAUCUAAUAUUAGUUGAUGUGGCAUGUGUCCUAUCACAUAAAUGUAGAUAAUAAUAAUUAAUUCAUUAACAAAAUGAAAAAUGUUAGUUUACAAAAUACAAAUCCGAAUUUUUUGUGUGUUAGAGGGAAUUUAAAAGGGAGAGACUAAACAAAUGUGGUGACAAAUUACACGUAUUACCAAAAUUGAAAAUACAAAGUUUAGGCAACUGGAAACAUCUCUGUCAAUGGCAAUGAACCCAUUACCUCCAUUUAUAAUUAACCAAAAAUCAAAUAAAUUAAAAAAGAAAACACAAAGCAAGGAUAACUACUAGUUGUUUUGAUCAUCCCUGCUUCUUUUUCUUAGCAUAGCUCUUGUAAUGAAAAUUAACAAAAAGGGCCAAAAGGGAAGCAUUAAACACAGUAUUGAAGCACCAACCCCAAAACACAGGGAAACCAAAUCCCGUGAAAUGAUAAUUCAGCAUCAAAAUGAAAAAUGUUAUGGAUGGCUGUGAUGGGUCUGAGGAUGUGGGGUCCAAUGAGAGGUGAUGAUGAUGGUGAUGUUGAUGUUGAUGUGUGGUAGAGGAUGGAUGUGAGGGAGAGGUAAGUAAUGAUGGAGUGAAUGAGGAUGCGUGGGAAGGAAGCUAGGGUUUGGUUUUGAGUCCAUGUGAAGUUGAGGACUUGUGGGUGGCUUACAAGCAAUAUUGGAGUGUUAAGCUGAUUGAAUUUGAACAGUGCUACUCCAAUAACAUCAAUAUGGUUGAUGACCGCUCUAUCAAAUCCUUUGGAUAAAUGAAUUGACCGCUCUAAAAUAAAUGAAUGAGAUAGGAUAAAUUCGAAUAAAUUAAUCUGCAUAAUGACACAAGAAACAAAUAUAAAUUGACCGCAAGUAGAAAUAUACUUUUGUUAUAUUUAGAGCAUCUUCCAAUUUCUUUCCCUUGAGCUCUGUUUCUGCGAGUGCUCAAAAGCAAGACACAGGCCUCAAGAUAUAAUUAUCAUCAUCAAUCUUUUGCAGCCACAUGCAGUACUUGGAAAAUGUUUAUGGCCCUAAAUAACUGGAAAAUCAGAAAACAUUAAGAACAAGAGACUAAUCAUUUUAAUCGCAACAAAACAUGCACACUAUGAAAAUAUAAAAUUGAAUUACUUCGAAUGGAUGUGCCUCUUAACAGGAAUUGCACAAGCUAAUGAGCAAGUGAGCCUUCGAAUGAAAAUCUAAAUCCUUGCAGCCUGCGUCAUGCAGCUUCUCCCAAUGAGUAAGUGAACCUUGAACAGUUAUCACUCAGCUCAAACUAAAAUGAAAUUACUGUGGACAUGUGAAUUAAAAAUAGAUGUAAAAGUAGUUUUCUCAAAGCAAAGUCAAGAUAAGAGAUUAACUCUACUCCUUAUUUACAUUAAAAAUAACGAACAAUGGAAAACAGAGCUAGAGAAGAACUUACCUGUGCGUUGAGAUCAUGUGGGGAAUGUGAGAUAUCUUCUUAGAUUUGGUUUGGGAAACUCCAUCUUCUUCUGAAAGUUCUGACAGUUCCCUAAACCCAGGCCAAUACAAUUGCAACAGAAACUGCAUGCUUUAACCAGUAUCUGAUCAUCUCCUGUUAUUUCAAGACAAUAAUAACUUAAUUGCAACACUGCAUGCUUCAACCAAUAACCUUUUCGACUUCAACACUUCUUUUGUCCCCCACCCGAUGCCCUUUUCACAAUUCUAUGAAUCAGAUAAAUCAGCCUUCUUCACAAAACUAAAAUUUCGGUCCCCAUGUAGCAGAGUUUCUUAUUUUUCCUUUGUACACAAAUGCAGACACUUAAGCAAAUUAAGAUUUCUUACCUAAAGCAAAUUAGGAUUUCUUUUGAUCCUGCAAGUUACAAUUUCAGUCCCCAUGUAAUAGUAAAAAUUUGUACACAUAUUUAUAUAGCAAAUUAAUAUUUCAUACCUCACAAUAUUUAUCAUAACCAUCAAUCUUUAGAAACCACAUGCAGACUUGUUAAACUGUUUAUGGCCCAAAAUAACAGGAAAAUUAGAACAGAUUUUUAAGAAUGAGCGACUAAAUAUUUCAAUGGCAACUAAAAUUACACAUCUUGGAAAUCUGAAACUCAAGUACUCAGAACACUGUAAGUGCAUUGCAUAAUCUUGGGUAAAAAAUACACAGCAAUUAAACAAGCUGGGAACUUUAGUGCAAAUGCUUUUUCAUAAUCUUCAAUUGCAUAAGUCAGUUAGAAUCAAUCUUUCUUAAUCUUUCAAUUCACAUAUGAGAGCCUGAUAACACAAGGAAACACUGUAAGUGAAUUGUCAACUGUGACAAAUUUUGGGUAAAAAUUAUCAACUGUAGUUAUCUGCAUAACAUUUAGUGUCAACCCCAAAUUCCUUCCUGAUCCGUGGAAGCAUUUCAGCCCACAGACGGUUAGCUUUGUCAAUAUACGGCAACUCAGGAUUCUAUAUUUAAACUAUGAUGUUUGAUGACUUGCUGAUACAAAAGACAUUGCCCCAAGCACUUUUUUACAUUAGCUAAAAUCAAGCCAGUCACUUCCAUUUGUUGCAGUUUUAAUGCAGAAAGAAAAAAGGGGGAAAAAAAUCUGCAAGAUGCCACUUGUAAUACCGCAUGUUCGCAGGAGCAGAGUUAAAUAAUUACAAAAUUACAUUCUUUAUUGGCCACAAAGCUGCCUAGAAAAAGGCUUUAAAUUCUUAAUGAGACAACGUAUUCGAACAAAUAUGGUGAAUGAAGAGACAAAGGCAUAACACCUCGGGAAGUAAAGCUCUGUUUCUGUAUGUGCUCAAACCAAUGGAAACCCAUGGAAAUGAAUUUCUACGAAUUAGACAUGUCAGCCAAAACAGGUACUCUGUACAAGCAAAGUAAAAGAGAGUUACAAAAAAUUUUAAGAUAAUUAAACUUUUAGUCACCAUAUAAUUAAUAGAAAACUUUGUACACAAUGAUUUAUAUGAGAUUAAGAUUGUAUACCUAAGUUUUAAUUGCAAACUAAAUAUACACAACAUGAUAUUAGCAUUAGAAGACUGCACCAAAACGCACCGAAUUGAAUGUACCUCUUAACGGCCAUUGUACAUGCAUUGAAAGUUUACCGCAAAAGCUGUUUCAAACGUGAUGCAUCUUAGAGAUGCAAGAUGAGAAAUUGUUAUUACAACUAGCAUUGAAACAUGUGUGAAAACUGUUAAUGGACCUAAAUAACUUGAAAAUCAGAAAAGAUUAGGAAUGAGUGACUAAGCCUGCUAAUCGCAACUAAACGUGCAAACCUUGAAAAUCCAAAAUUGUACUCGAUGAAUGUGCAAUUGCUCAAGCAGGUAAAUUUCCUGCAAAGGCUCUUACAAACCCUCAAAGAUGAUACUCUACAUACCAUGGUAACCUGAGUAACAAAAAGAAACACAGUGAAUAUUAAAGGGCAUUCUGACAAUGCAAAUUUGUGUAAAUUAACAACUGCGGUUACCUGCAUAAUAGUGUCAAUACCGAAUUCCUUCCUCCAUGGAAGCAUGUGAUCAGCCCACAUGUGCUUUGCUCUGUAGCUUUUGAAUACCUGAAAUUGUUAUCACAACCAACGGUGAAAAAUGGGUGAAAAAAGGGUAAUAGUAGCAUAAUUGAAUUUGCUUAUAGAGGAUAAACCGAUCAAAGAAAAAAACAAGACAGAAAUGAUGAUCUUAGUACCUUAAUAUCAUGCAAUAAUAAUCAUCAUGCCUUCUAGGCAGCUAUCCAUCCUCAAUUGAAACAGAGCAGACCUGGCCAUCACUUUCUUCUUCAAAGUCCAGCAACUGAACGUUGCACACAACACCACAGUGGAAGUUCCAUCACCAGCCUAAUCCUUGAUUACCCCAAUGUUCUCCAUAGGGUCUUCAAAGUCAACCUAAAAAUAAAAUGAAAAUGCAAUGCAUUAUUAUUAGGGAUCUAGUGCUUGAGCUUGCUUUGACAUCAUGGUAUUAGCAAAUUCUGAUAUAGCCAAAAUGGUGAAUAAGAUGACGUACUUGAUAAGAAAAACCUGAUUUAACAAAUAAUUAAGGAGCCGGUAACAAUCACAGAAUCUCAUCAUGUGGGGAACGCCUUGGCAACAGAAGAUGGUGCUUUCAUUCAAGCAAUAGCAACUUUCCAAUUUCAUAAGGUAGUUUAAUGGCCCUUUUAAGAACAUCUGCACCAGCCUAAUAAUUAUUCAUGGAAAUUAAUAAUCAGAAUCAUGUUAGAUUGAGAGAUGAAACAUAAUAAGCGAUUUGGCCACCAUAUAUGCAUUUAUCACCUUCAAUUUGCUCAUCUUUGUCUAGAGUAUUGCUUCUGCAUUAACUUAAUUAGCUUGCAAGCCACCUGAACAUGGUUUUAAAUAAAGUGUAAGAGCUCGAAUUCGAACGAAUUAAUCAAAUAUGCUGACAGGAGAAACAAAAGUAAAUAACCACAAGAAGUAGAAAUAUACUUUUGUUAUAUUCAGAGCAUCUUCUUGCGUCAAGUUCUUUUCCUUUAGCUCUGUUUCUGUUUGUGCUCAAACGCAAUGGCUCAAGGGCCAAGAUAAUUUUAUGACCAUCAAUCUUUUUGCAGCCACAGCAGACUUGAAAAAAUGAUUGUGGCCCUAAGGAACUUGAAAAUUAGAAAAGAUUCAGAAUGAGUGACUAAAUAUUAUAAUUGAAACUAACUAAACAUUAUAAUCGAAACUAAUUAAACGCCUAGAAAAUCUGAAACUGAGCAAUUGCUUCUGGUGGAAACUUUACUGCAAGGACUUUCUCAAACCCUUGAAGAUCACACUCUACCUGAUAACAAAGAAACAGUCAAUAUACGAAGAUGAUUUUACUAACAAGUGAGUGCUUACACAUAUUGGAAGGAUAAUGAUGAUUCAUAACCCAAAUCCCCAAUACUCCCUAUUAUCUCACUCAAGUUCGAGCUCCCAGAAUUCACUACUGUGAAGCUCUCACAACAAAAUUCCCUUCAAAGAUUCUCUACUCAAAUUUGAUGAUGAUGUCCCUCCAAAGGAGGCAAAAAAUCUAACACUGAUCAAAUUGGUUUGUGAACAAUUAAUCUUCCUGGCCAUCAUGCAUACCAGGUGUGGUGAGCAAUCUUCAUUAUGACAUUUGCCUUAAUAAGCAGCUUAGUUUCCUUAACCUGAUAACUUACACAAACAAAAACAACUUGAUUAAAGUUUAAUAUUUAGAGGCAGAACAGUAAAGAAGAUGAUAUAUAUUGAUACUAAAAUUUGACCUGUGUUAUCCUGACGUCAAGAAUCACAGCAUCUCAUGUGGGCAGAAUCUUCGCAGUACAAUAUGCUUGCAAAAUUGAAGCAGCAUCUUAUCACCUGUAAUUUAAUUAAGACAAUAACUUUCCCCAACCAUUUCAAUGCAUUAUUGCCAACUAAAUUCAGAGGGUGCUAAUUAAAUAGCCUUUGAACAAUAUAUUCUUAUUCUUCUCCAAUCUAACAAUUAUUUCGAAAAUCUAAAUGACAAUCACGCAUCGAUGGCAUCAAAAUUUGGCUACAAAGCAGCCUGGAAAAGGCUUUACUCUCUGAAUGAGAGCAUGAAUUCGAAACAAAUAUGAUGAAUGAAGAAAAUAAGGCAUAAUACCACCAAAAGUAAAACUUUCUCCCAGGGCUCUAUGUUUCUGUUUGUGCUAAAACCAAUAGAAACCGAUGGAAAUGAAUUUCUAGGAAUUAGACAUAUCAGCGAAAACAGGUAUUCUGUACAAGCAAAGUAAAAUAGGGUUACCAAAAUUUUUAAGAUUGAUAUGAUACUUGAAAAAUAGGUUUGCACAGAAUUAAUUAUUCUGUCAUUGAGAUUGUUCUUUUAUAGAGAUUUCCAGCGCACAUAAAACUAUUAAAUCAGUAAACUAAAUCACUGAUUUAAGGAAAGAAUAAUUUCUAGGUAGAUUUUCCUAAAAUACAUAGAUUUGCACCUAAAUAGCUAUGUUACAGCUAAUGACUAAUUUACAGCACAUAUUUUUUCUAAUUUUCUAACACUCCCCCUCGAGCUGGUUUGAAGAUAUCCUCCAUAGCCAGCUUGCCAACUAGAAAAUUGAACUGUUUUGUGUGUAGUCCUUUGGUAAAGACAUCAGCCACUUGUUCUCCAGUAGGAAUGUGCUCCAUAUGAACCAAUCCAUUAUCUAUCUUCUCCUUGAUGAAAUGCUUGUCAAUCUCCACAUGUUUUGUGCGGUCAUGAAGGACUGGAUUGUGUGCUAUUGAGAUUGCUGCCUUGUUGUCACAGUACAACUACAUAGGAGAUGAUUUUGUCGCUUUUAACUCUUCCAACAGCCUCCUAAUCCACAUGAUCUCACAAAUGCCAUGGGUUACAGCUCUAAAUUCAGCCUCAGCACUGCUCCUAGCUACCACAUUCUGUUUCUUGCUUCUCCAAGUAACCAAAUUACCACCUACAAAUGAACAGUAUCCAGAAGUGGAUCUUCGGUCUACUUUGCAGGUAAAUUUACUGCAAAGGCUCUUACAAGCCCUCAAAGAUGAUAUUCUACAUACCAUGGUAACCUGACUAACAAAAAGAAACACAGUGAAUAUUAAAGGGCAUUCUGACAAUGCAAAUUUGUGCAAAUUAACAACUGCGGUUACCUGCAUAAUAGUGUCAAUACCGAGUUCCUUCCUCCAUGGAAGCAUAUGAUCAGCCCACAUGUGCUUUGCUCUGUAGCUUUUGAGUACCUGAAAUUGUUAUUACAACCAGCGGUGAAAAUUGGGUGAAAAAAUGGUAAUAUUAGCAUAAUUGAAUUUGCUUAUAGAGGAUAAACCGAUCAAAGAAAACGACAAGAUAGAAAUGAUUAUCUUAGUACCUUAAUAUCAUGCAAUAAAAAUCAUCAUGCCUUCCAGGCAGCUAUCCAUCCUCAAUUGAAACAGAGCAGACCUGGCCAUCACUUUCUUCUUCAAAGUCCAGCAACUGAACGUUGCACACAACACCACAGUGGAAGUAGUUCCAUCACCAGCCUAAUCCUUGAUUACCCCAAUGUUCUCCAUAGGGUCUUCAAAGUCAACCUAAAAAUAAAAUGAAAAUGCAAUGCAUUAUUAUUAGGGAUCUAGUGCUUGAGCUUGCUUUGACAUCAUGGUAUUAGCAAAUUCUGAUAUAGCCAAAAUGGUGAAUAAGAUGAUGUACUUGAUAAGAAAAACCUGAUUUAACAAAUAAUUAAGAAGCCGGUAACAAUCACAUAAUCUCAUCAUGUGGGGAAUGCCUUGGCAACAGAAGAUGGUGCUUUCAUUCAAGCAAUAGCAACUUUCCAAUUUCAUAAGGUAGUUUAAUGGCCCUUUUAAGAACAUCUGUACCAGCCUAACAAUUAUUCAUGGAAAUUAAAAUUCAGAAUCAUAUUAGAUUGAGAGAUGAAAUAUAAUAAGCGAUUUGGCCACCAUAUAUGCAUUUAUCACCUUCAAUUUGCUCAUCUUUGUCUGGAGUAUUGCUUCUGCAUUAACUUAAUUAGCUUGCAAGCCACCUACAAAUGGUUUUAAAUAAUGUGUGAGAGUGUGAAUUCGAACGAAUUAAUCAAAUAUGCUGACAGGAGAAACAAAAGUAAAUAACCACAAGAAGUAGAAAUAUACUUUUGUUAUAUUCAGAGCAUCUUCUUGCGUCAAGUUCUUUUCCUUUAGCUCUGUUUCUGUUUGUGCUCAAACGGAAUGGCUCAAGGGUCAAGAUAAUUUUAUGACCAUCAAUCUUUUUGCAGCCACAUGCAGACUUGAAAAACUGGUCGUGGCACUAAGGAACUUGAAAAUUAGAAAAGAUUCAGAAUGAGUGACUAAAUAUUAUAAUCGAAACUAAUUAAACAUACACGCCUAGAAAAUCUGAAACUGAACUUCUCAAAUGUAUAUGCCUCUUCGCAGCAAUUGCUUGUGGUGGAAACUUUACCGCAAGGACUUUCUCAAACCCUUGAAGAUCACACUCUACCUGAUAACAAAGAAACAUAGUCAAUAUACGAAGAUGAUUUUACUAACAAGUGAGUGCUUACACAUAUUGGAAGGAUAAUGAUUACUCAUAACCCAAAUCCCCAACACUCCCUAAUAUCUCACUCAAGUGAGUACGAGCUCCCAGAAUUCACUACUGUGAAACUCUUACAACAAAAUUCCCUUUAAAGAUUCUCUACUCAAAUUUGAUGAUGAUGUCCCUCGAAAGGAGGCAAAAAAUCUAACACUGAUCAAAUUGGCUUGUGAACAAUUAAUCUUCCUGGCGAUCAUGCAUACCAGGUGUGGUGAGCAAUCUUCAUUCUGACAUUUGCCUUAAUAAGCGGCUUAGUAUCCUUAACCUGAUAACUUACACAAACAAAAACAACUUGAUUAAAGUAUAAUAUUUAGAGGCAGAACAGUAAAGAAGAUGAUAUAUAUUGGUACUAAAAUUUGACCUGUGUUAUCCUGACGUCAAGAAUCACAGCAUCUCAUGUGGGCAGAAUAUUCGCAGUACAAGAUGCUUGCAAAAUUGAAGCAGCAUCUUAUCACCUGUAAUUUAAUUAAGACAAUAACUUUCCCCAACCAUUUCAAUGCAUUAUUGGCAACUAAAUUCAGAGGGUGCUAAUUAAAUAGCCUUUGAACAAUAUAUUCUAAUUCUUCUCCAAUCUAACAAUUAUUUGGAAAAUCUGAAUGACAAUCAUGCAUCGACGACAUCAAAAUUUGGCUACAAAGCAGCCUGGAAAAGGCUUUACUCUCUGAAUGAGAGCAUGAAUUCGAAACAAAUAUCAUGAAUGAAGAAACAAAGGCAUAAUACCACAAAAAGUAAAACUUUUCCCAGGGCUAUCUGUUUCUGUUUGAACUAAAACCAAUGGAAACCGAUGGAAAUGAAUUUCUAGGAAUUAGACAUAUCAGCCAAAACAGGUACUCUGUACAAGCAAAGUAAAAUAGGGUUACAAAAAAUUUUAAGAUUGAUAUGAUAAUUAAAAUUUCAGUCACCAUAUAAUUAAUAGAAAACUUUGGACACAAUGAUUUAUUGCAUAUUAAGAUUGCUAUAUAAAAUAUAAUAUUAGCAUUAGGAGACCGCACCGAAGCAUACCGAAUUGAAUGUGCCUUUUCACAGCCAUUUUACAAGCUUUGAAGCUUCACCACAAAUGCUUUUUCCAACCCGUGAACAUGGUGCACCCGAGAGAUGCAAGCUAUGAAAUUGUUACUACAGCAAGCGUUGGAACAUUUGUUAAAAAAGGAAGUUUAUGAAAAUACGCCUUUGGAUACCAGUCUUCAGGAAUCAAUUCAUCCGUAAUAACAAUUUUCAAGAAUUAUCAACUGCUUUAAGCUCAUCGACAUCACAAAGAUCUCAACUAAAAUAGAGCAGAUCCGGCCAUCACUAUCCCUUCUACUGCUCUUUUCCUUUAGAGAAUGAUUGAAUUACAGAAUGCGUGUAAGGCAUUCUUAUUCAAGGUCCAAUGAUCAAACCUUGCACUAUAACAACAGAGGUAGUAGUUUCUUCGCCAGCCUAAUCCUUGGUCUCAGGAAUGUCCUCAACAGAGUACUCGAAAUCAACCUAAAAAUUAAGAAUGAGUUGGAAAACUGUUUAUGGCCCUAAAGAACUUGAAAAUAAGAAAAGAUUAAGAAUGAGUGACUAAACAUUUAAUCGCAACUAAACAUACAAACCUUGAAAAUCUAACUUUGAAGUACUCUUGAAUGAAUGAGCAGUUGCACGAGCUGGUGACAACUAAGGUUACUGUGAAGUCUCUUACAAAUCCUUAAAGAUGAUACUUUACAUACCACGAUAACCUGAUAACACAUAGGAACACAAUAAACAUUAAAGUGUAUUCUGACAAUGCAAAUUUGUGGAAAUCAUCAGCUGUGGUUACCUGGACAAUAUUGCCAACACCAAACUCCUUCCUCAAUUGAAACAUAUGAUCAGCCCACAAAUGCUUUGCUUUGUAGCUUUUGAGAGCCUGAAAUUGUUAUCACAACCAACAAUGAAAAUUGGGUGAAAAAAUUGAUAAUAUUAGCUUAAUUCCAUAUGUUUAUAUAGGAUAAACCGAUCAAAGAAUGAAAAAAGAUAGAAACAGAGCAGACCCAGCCAUCACUUUCUUCUUCAAAGUCGCACCAUAACCACAGUGGUAGUCGUUCCACUGCCAGCCUAAUCCUUGGUCACCCCAAUGUUCUCCAUGAAGUAUUCAAAGUCAACCUAAAAAUAAAUAAAAAUGCAAUGCAGGUGGAAAUGAAAAUUCUAUAAAUUAAAUAAAAUAAAAAUGCAAUGCUUGAGCUUGAGCUUGCUUUAGCAUCAUCGUAAUAGUAAAUUUUGAUAUAUCUUUACUUCUCUGUUCUUGUUUAUUCACAACAAGAUAUCAAUAGAAGAAGAUGGAAAUGAAAUUCUAUAAAAUAAAGCAAGUGAAUUACCAACAGAACAUUUUAGCAAUCCUUUGGCUAAACUUUUCAUUUUCUUAGCAUACUCUCCUGCCUGGUGAACAUAAUUAAACAAGUAUGAAAUAAAACAAAGUGGGCUAAUGUAGUAAAAACAAUAACACAAUUACUUUAAAGAAUUAAUGUCACGUAUAUUAUAUAUAAAAAAAUACGAUUAUCAUUAUAUAAGAUAAAAUUGAUAAUUUAGUUUUCAACAUUACUGCAAACGUAUCACAGAGAUUUUGUUACACAUAACAAAUUUUCGUACAUAUGAAAAUAAAUUACAUUGCAUGAAAUUUUACAAAAGAGCACAUAUUUUUUAAAAGUAAAUAAAUAUAGAAAUUUCAACAGACUACACUUGUAUUUUUUUUUAAUUAUUUAAUCUUUAGAAAACAAGUUUAACAGAUUUGAUAACUAGGAAGUUUUACGUAUUUAUACCAUGAUUGAUUCUAUAUAGAAUUUUAAUUCAAAAUAUAAUUAUUUUUAUUAAUUUCAUUGCAAGCAACAACGAAGUAAAUUAGAGGAGGAGGAGAAAUUACCGGCGAGUGAUAAAUUACCGCGACCACUUGAUGUGGGGAAUGCGAGAUAUCUUAUGCCAGUCUUCUCCUUUCCCCUCUCUAUAACGGUUUUCCAGAAGAGGACAUCUGUCAAUAGUCAAUUCCUGCAGCGUCGUCGUCCGAAGAAGGUAAUCCGGCAGCACCUUUAAUUUGGGGCAAUACUCAAUUACCAAGGAAGAAAGACGUGGUAUGUCUGUUGUCCUGUGAUCUUCUAGAAUGGGCAGUUCUUCCAUAUUUGCACAAAAAGAAAUCCUCAGUUUCUGCAGUGCCGUCGUUCGAAGAAGGUAAUCCGGCAGCGCCUUCAAUUUGUUGCAAGAACGAACUUCCAAGGAAGAAAGACGGGGCAUGAUAGAGAUGUUUUCCUUCCUCGUAAUCCUGUAAUUCCACUCUUCCAAUUCUUCCAUGUCCCAAAUUAUGAGUGAUUUCAAUUUGGGGAAGGCAGUAACUGAUGAUGAUGAUGAAGAUGAAGACGGGCCAUCCUCACUGCUUUCUUCUAUUCCCAAAAACUCAUUACCCACUCUUUUUACACUUUUCAAGUACCAUAGUUCGAGUUUUUCCAGAGGCAAUUUUCCCAAAGGAGGCAAAUGCUCACACUUAAGGCACGAGCGAAGAUAUAAAUUCCUUAGAUUGGUCAGUGAAGUCAACCAUUUGGGAAAAAUGUUGCGUCCAUAUAAUAUAAUCCCUAAUUUCUCUACACUCAAAGGCGGUUGUAAGGCUUUAAGAAGUUGUUCAUCUUUCUCUUUCUUCCUCCUCCUUUCUUCAUCUUCCCCAUCUACGACUCUACCAAACUCAAGACGCAAACGAAGGAGGUUUUGCUGAUUGUAAAGUUGUAAUCUCUCGACCUCAUCUAAACGGGACACAUUACCCAGCCCUUCAAUUCCACAUUCUCGAAGGAGUUGAAGAUUUUUCAGAGAUUCAAGCCUACAAGUAUUGCUACCAUCAACACCUCCACCCACCACAAACUUGUCUAAUGUUCGAAGACUGGUUAAUUUGGAAAUCCCUACUGGCAUGUAUUUCAACGAAUAAGUUUCAGCAUUCAGUAAACUCCUCAUGUUCUUUAACUUCCCAAUCCCCGCUGGCAAUUCUUUAAGAUUUCGGCACCGCCUAAUAUCUAGCUUUUGUAAAUUAUAUAAUUCACACAAAGUCUUAGGUAGUCUCUCUAUGCCUAAUUCAGACAAAUUAAGAUAUCUUAAAUGUAUCAAUUUUCCGACAUUUUUUGGAAUUUCUCUAAUCAAACUUGAGUGAAGACGAACAGGCGAGGAUGAUAGCCUUAUAACUAAUGAUUCCCUUAUAACUAAUGCCCUCAAACAUGCCAAUUUACUAAAUAACUUUCGAGUUUCUCUAAUCUUAUAUGUGUUUGGACAAAAACAUAGGCGCAACAGCCUUAUAACUAAUGCCCUUAAACAUUCUUUGCUACUACUAAAAGACGAAAGGAUGCUACUAAGAGACAGAUUGAAAUCACUUCUAUCAUAAAUUAAAAGGGUACGCAAUCUAUCAAGUCCACGAAUGGAUAUAGGAAAUGAAGUGCCUCUUUGAAAAUUUAACCCUAAGUGACGGACUUUGUCACCAAAAGAGUUUAUGACUGAGUCUUUGGUACCAUUAAUUUCUACCCACAAACAUUCUUUUCUACUUACAAAUUGGGCAAAAUCAUGUAUUAUGUCAUGCAUCUUGCAGCUCAUAAUAUCAUCAUCAUCAUCUUUUUUAAACUCUUGAAAGAAAGAGCGUGCUGCUAAAAUGUUGAAAUACUCUUCCCCAAUCAUCUCCAUCUCUUCGUCUUCUUCUGUAUUAAGAUAACCUUGAGCCAUCCAUAGUGAAAUUAGUUCCUCUUUAUUCAUAUUGUAGUUUUUUGGAAAGACAGCACAAUAUGAGAAACAUUGUUUUACCAUAGAAUUGGAGGGCAAAUCGUUAUAACUCAACAACAAAGGAGCUAAAAGACCUUGCCCAAUUGCUUCUACUUUCCACAUUUCACUCUCUAAAAUUCUUUGCCACUCUUUUACUGUACUUUUAGAGCGCAAGAGAUUCCCUAUUACCUUUGCAGCAAGAGGCAGGCCUUUGCACUUAUGUGCAAUUUUGCGCCCGAUUGGUUCUAAUUUUUCACGAUCCUCAAAGGACCUACGUAGAAAUGCCAUCUGCUUAAACAGUAACCAACAUUCCCCUUCUCCCAACUCCUUGACAGGGAUAAUAUCUAUUGAUCCCAACUGUAGUGCAACUGACCUAUCACGUGUGGUAAUUAGAAUUUUACUUUCAUGGUGGCCAUUCUUUAGACAAGAAAAGAAUGGGUCCCAUUUUUUGUAAUCUACAUCCCACACAUCAUCUAAAACAAGAAAAAACUUUUUUCCUUCAAUUGAUGUAUGGAUAUGGCUCAUAAGAGAUUGGAAUUCGCUUAAAUCAUAAGCUUCUUUUGACUUGCCUAGACCUUCAAUGAUUGCUUUGGCAACCCUAAUCCUCUCAAAAGUGUCUGAUACACACACCCAUAUAACUUUUUCAAAAUUUCUUUUCACCUCAUCAUUAUUAUAGGCCAGUUGUGCAAGAGUGGUUUUACCUAUACCCCCUAACCCAACUAGUGAGAUGAUAUGAAGGCCUUCUUGUUGUUCACUACUUUGACACAACAACUUGCUUAAGAGCUCAUCUUUCUCAUUAACUCUACCGCAAACCUCUCCCUCAUCAAUCAAGGAGGUGGUUCGCACUCGCUCUGGUUUCUUGACAUUGUUACUCACAUUCUCAACAAAUUUAAACAUAUCUUUUCGAGUGGCAAUACCAUCUAGCUUUUCAUUGAUUUCCCUAAUCUUGACAGCAAUGUCAUGACGAAGACUGAGUUGUUUGAAACUGCCACAGCAGUUUGAUACAGCACAAAAGAAGGAACGUACCUUCUUCUUAUGAACGCCCUCAAUCUGCAAUUUGAGCCUUGCAGUGGUCCACUCCUCCAACACAUCUUCCAUGUCGUAAGAUGCGUCUUUGAGCUGAUCCAGCCAAAAAGUAACAUCUUUCUCGUGCUGCAUUUGCCUUUUCUCUGCAUCUUCCAGCACAAGUUGAAUGGCUUGUAGAUUGCUGGUGAGCUUUUUCACUUCUUCGUCGACACCAGUAACAAGCCUCACCUGUUGUUUCAGUUCAUCAGUUGCAACUGAGCUCAGCUGCUCCAGGAGAGAGGAAACGAUCGCAUCAACCAUUCUGACAAAGAAGAUGAGAAUUCUGAAGAGUUAUUAGAUGUGCUUUUGUUGCGAAGAUAUGAAAGAAAGGAGUUAUUGCAUUCUUUUAUACUGCAUAGAAAAGGUUUAUGCUUAUCCCCACCCCACACGUCAAUGAUUGUAGAAUGUUUAAUUUCCCUGAUUCUACUCCACUAGUUGUGAUGCGUAAUUAUAAAUAUUCUCAAGUUAUGUAUGAAAAUCCCACAAAUUUGGAUCUAGUAAUGAUUUUUAUGUAUUUUUUCAUAAUCUUCUAAAAUACUAUAUCUGCAUGUUAUUUCGUGCAGAAAUAUGGCAUUGGGUGAAAAAAGUUAUGCUUAUCCCCACCCACACGUUAGUAAUUGUAGUAGCAUCUGUAAUUUCCAUGAUUCUACUCCACGGACGAACACAUUUUUUGUACUAACAUCUUUAAAUUCCCACACGUUAGGAAUUUGGCACAUAAUCUCAAACUCGUCGCAUCUUUAACGUAUGAGGUUGAUGAAUAAAUUCUUUUCUCAUAUCAAUUUAAAACUCCGAGAUUAUGUGCCAAAUUCCUAACGUGUGGGAAUUUUACCUCCUAAGUAAUCCGGCCCACUGCCAAGUGCCAACUUUUUCUCUGUCGAGUUAAUGAUGUUGUUUUGUUUUCCUUGUUUUAAUUAAUGUUGCGGAGAGAAACAGAUCGAUGCAAAUGGCUAGCCAGGUUUUGCAGAAACCGUGAAUGGUCUUGCAUGCAUGUGACAUAAAGCUUUAUAUAUAGCUUAUUCCUCCAUCAACAUUUCAAUGGUUCCAUCUCACGUGCACUUGGCUAUGAAUAAGGUCCAUGCAUGGAUCGAUCGAUUUAGGAGUUUGGACCAUCUCAUGCUGCAGAGUUAUGUGUCAUGUAUGUGUGUUGACACUUGCCAGUUCAUUUUUGUUAUAAAGAUUAUUGAUACUCGUAAAUGUACUACUUACAAAUCAUAAAUUUUGAGUUUGACACUUUAGUUUCAUUUUGUAAUCCCUACGCUCUUUAAAUAUUUGUAAUAAUAUAUUUCAAACUUUAACUCAGACGUAAUGAAUGAAGGGGGAUCCUCUUCUUAUAUAAAUUUUUAUUUUUUAACGUUCAAGUUACAUUUGAUUACGUGUACUUAUUAUCUAGUUUUGACUAUCUAAUGACAUUUGAUUACGUGUACUUAUUAUAUGAUUUUUUUUUAAAUGAUGGGUCUGGUGAGAUUUUUUACAUCUUGGAUUAGUAGGUCAAGAACGGGCAGGGCAGGGCCUUCUCUGAAGUCAAUCUUGUGAGCAACACCAGCUUUUUGGAUAAUUGGCAGCCCCAAUUCAUAAUUUUCUCAGUUGAUGUCCAUGGCCAAAAUCUGCAACCGAAGCUUAUUCUACUCUUAUUAAUCGAGAGAUAAUUUUAUCUCUAACUAAUUUAAUUGGGAGGAAAAUUGAGAGAGAUAUCCACUCUGUCCUUAUUAAUUGAGAGAUAAUUUUACCCUUACCCAAUUUAAUUGGAAAGGAAAUCGAAUUCCAACAAUAACUAGGACUUGAAUCCAUGCACUUAAGCUAACUUUAAGUUUUAGGAUGCAUGGUUAUAAUGUUCUUUAUUUAAAUCCUAACAAAUGGUGGGACUUGAACUUGUGCCUACAAACAUUGAGUGCUUAGGGGCUGCAAAAUUUCAUAACUUAAUUUUAGUUGAUGUGGUAUGUGCCCUAUCACAUAAAUAUGUAGAUAAUAAUAAUUAAUACAUUAACAAAAUGAAAAAUAUUAGUUUACAAAAUACAAAUCCAAAUUUUUUGUGUGACAAGGGACUUAAAAGGGAGAGACUAAACAAAUGUGGUGAAAACGACAUGUAUUACUAAAACUAAAAAUACGAAGUCUAGGCAAUUGAAAACAUCGGGUUUUUUAUUUAAAUAUCCCCAAUUUGUCCUUAAAUACCAAAUUUAUACCCUAUUAUAUACAUAUACCUCACGAAGAUAGGGAAAAUAAAAAAUAACCUUAAAAAAAUCAAGAAUCCACACAUUUCUUCCUCUCAGUGCAGGAAGAUGUCGAGUACGAAGUCGGGUAAGUCGAGAAUUUAGUCGAGCAAGAAUUGGAGAUAAGUAAGUUGAGUAUAUGGUCCAGUAGGAAGUUGAGUAAGCAUAUUAAAUGAGUCCAGUAUUAAGUGGUAGAGUAUUAAGUAAAAGUCAAGUAAAUUUUUUAAACAAGUCAAAUAAAAUUUAUGUAAUUUUUAAAGAGGUUGAGUAUUAAGUCGGGUUAGUACAUUGGGUCGAGUGUUAAUAUUUUUAAAGAAGUGAAGUCUGGUAAGUUGAGCAUUCAGUCGAGUAAGAAGUUAAGGCAAUUGAAUAAGUCGAGUCUCUAGUCGAGUACGAAGUCGGGUAUAAAGUCUGGUAAGUUGAGCAUUCAGUCGAGUAAGAAGUGAAGGCAAUUGAAUAAGUCGAGUGUCUAGUCGAGUACGAAGUUGGGUAUGAAAUCUGGUAAGUUGAGCAUUCAGUCGAGUGAGAAGUGAAGGCAAUUGAAUAAGUCAAGUAUCUAGUCGAGUACGAAGUCGGGUAUGAAGUAUGGUAAGUUGAGCAUUCAGUUGAGUAAGAAGUGAAGGCAAUUGAAUAAGUCGAGUACGAAGUCGGGUAUGAAAUAUGGUAAGUUGAGCAUUCAGUCGAGUGAGAAGUUAAGGCAAUUGAAUAAGUCGAGUAUCUAGUUGAGUACGAAGUCGGGUAUGAAGUUUGGUAAGUUAAGCAUUUAAUCGAGUAAGAAGUGAAGGUAAUUGAAUAAGUCGAGUAUCUAGUUGAUUACGAAGUCGGAUCUGAAGUCUAGUAAGUUGAACAUUCAGUUGAGUAAGAAGUGAAAACAAUUGAAUAAGUCGAAUAUCUAGUCGAGUAAAAAGUCGAGUAAGUAGAUUGAAUGAGUAGGGUAUUAAUUUUUUGUUGGCAUUUUAUUGAGGCUAUUUUUGUACUUUCUUUGGUUUUUUAAGUAUGUAUAUGCAAAGUACAGAUUUUAAUAGAUGGAUGUAUAUUUUGGGUAUUACGAGAGAAACGGGGUAUAUCCCACGCAAUUCCUUCGAAAACAUCUCUGUCAAUUGCAAUGAACAGAUCACAACCCUUCAUAAUUAAACAAAAUCAAACUUGAAAAAAAAAAUCACACACACACACACAAAACAAUCACAAAAACUAUUUGUUCUGAUCAUCCCUGCUUUUUUUUAGCGUAGCUCUUGGAAUGAAAAUUAACAAAAAGUGUCAAAAGAGAAGCAUUAAACACAGCAUUGAAGCACCAGCCCAAAAUCCCAGAGCAACCAAAUCCCGUAAAAUGAUAAUACAGCAUCAAAACCGAAACAACAAAACUAAACACAAACUGAACAAUCUAACAAUCAGUGACCAAUCUCUUCCACUUUGGCCGCAACCCCAUCACACACAAUAGAUAGUACCCGUACAUGAUCACAUGCACACUUGCAUUAGUCACAAGUGCAAUAGGAAACAAAGACUGCUUCGUCUGUAACCAAAGGUAGCACAUUACGACGACGGUUGCAUGGUGGUAGACGUGGAGGAACGUGAGCCAUUGGAUGGAUUUUGACAAAAUGAUCAAAAGGGUGUCUAAGAAUUCGAGUAUUUUGGAGAGGUAGAAGAGGUAAGCGUAGAAGAAGAGGGGGCCAGACGGAGAAAUGGUGGGGGGGAAACAGAGGGUGUAAUGGAGGUGGGGCAAAUGGACGAUGAUGGAGAGAGUGCAGCCAACGGCCAUGAUGAGGGAGAGGAGGAGGAGGGUGAGGUUAUGGACGGCUGUGAUGGGCUUGAGGAUGUGGGGUCCAAUGAGAGGUGAUGAUGAUGGUGAUGUUGAUGUUGAUAUGUGGUAGAGGAUGAAUGUGAGGGAGAGGUAAGUGAGGAUGGAGAGAAUGAGGAAGUGUGGGGAAGAAGCUAGUGUUUGGUUCUGAGUCCAUGUGAAGCUGAGGAUUUGGGGGUGGUUUACAAGACAAUAUUGGAGUGUUGAGGUGAUUGAAUUUGAAGCCAUGGCUAGUUUUUGGGGGAAGAAAGAUUUUGGAAGAGAUGAUGUUGAGAUGAACGGGGGAGUUUAUAAAGUUUUGGGAUAAUGUGGAGGGUAUUUUGGACAUAUUGUUGUCUCAGCUUAAAUUUUGGGAAAAAGAUGAUCAAUAAGAAGCUCUUUUUUUCAUAUCAAUUUAAAACUCCGACGGUGUUUCCAAAAAUUGUUUUUCUUUUUCCGUUUUUUAAUUUUAAAUCAUAAAUUUAGUAAAAGAAGUUGAAUCAAGUGAUCACUUUUUUUUUAAUGUAAAACAAUUAAUUUCUUUUGUGAUUUAAGCAAAUAUUGAGUUGCAUACUUUAAAUAUAUUAAUAUUUGAUUCGAAAUUUCAUCUACCGAAACUACAAAAAUUAAUAUUUUCUAUUAAAUCAAAACCAAAAUUAAAGAUGACUCCUUGUCUGCCAACUGUCAUUAAACAAAGCCAUCACUCACGUGAAAAAAAAAAGUGAUAUAUUCAUUUUAACGUAAUUUCAUACCAACAUAUCAUUCUUUUUUUUCCAAUAAUGACCUCUUUAAUUAUAAAAUAUGGUAAAAGGGGAUGGGUUCGAGGUAUGGCGUCCGGGCCUUUGUGACAACGGUAUCUUUGGACGUGGGUGUCGUUAGAUUUUUGGCUAUUUUCUGGUCAAUCAAACUGGUGGAUCACAUGCAUUUUAAUGACCUCUUUAAUUAUAAAAUAUGGUAAAAGGGGAUGGGUUUAAGGAAUGGCGUCCAGGCCUUUGUGACAAAGUUGGAUGUGGGUGUCAUUAGACUUUUGGCUAUUCUGCUCAAUCAAACUCGUGGAUUACAUGCACUCAACGCGGACAUUAUGGAAAUGGGAGAAAAUUAUGUUAGUAAUAGCAUCUUCAAAAGUUUCUAUACAUUUUACUCUUUAAAUAUUUAUUUACUUAUUUAUAUGAUAAAUAGAAAGGUAAAAAAAUAUAUUAUUCUCCAAAAAACUCUUCAAAUAAAAAUAAGUUAAUAUUAUUUUAAUCAAAUAAUUAUUUUUUAAAGGAAAAGUUAACAGCAAUUAAAGCACUUCUCUUUCUCUCUCUAAUAAAAAGUAAUAAAAUAUUAAUUGAAGUGUUUUUUAGAACCUUAAAUGUUGAUGUGACUCUUCAAAUAAGUAAUAAAAUCUUAAUUGAAGAGCCUUUUGGUGAUGGUUUAAAACCCACUGUUUCGUUCUAAACUAAGUGAAUUUAUCUCGUGAGCUAAGUAGUUUAGGAGAUAACUCAAAUAAUUAACUUUUUAUUAGUUUAAUAAUAAGAAUUUUCGAUUAUAUUUUAAAAGUAUAAUUCAUUACAAAAAAUUACUUAAUAAAAAUAACUGUUAUUUAACAUAUUACAUUUUUUCAAUAAUAAAAUAAUUCAAAUUUUUAAUUAUUAUAACAAAAAAAUUUGUAAUAUAAUCCAUUCAUAUACCACAUCACGUAAAAUGUAACCUAGUACUACAUGUAAUCUUGUUACUACUAUUCCUAUAAUAUUCUACCACAUCAUAUACUAUCAAAUUCCAUCCGGCAUGCCAAAUGUGCAAAGUUUGAGUAAGACUUGUUAAAGUUGAGUAACAUCUUAUAUGGCCAAGCGCAUUGAGUAUGGAUUUGCAUGAUCGAGUGAGUACAACUAAAGUCGGGUAGAGUCUGGAAAAUCCCUAUAAUGUUGAGGUUGGAGAACUAUACUUUUUAAGGUACAUAAUUAAACAAUUUUGGUAAAUAUUUACUAUUAUAACUUAAAAAUUAAUUUGAUUUGAUCUCAUAUAUUAUUAUAAUAAAAAAACUUAUAAUAUCUUUAUUAAUUUUAUUAAAAAUUAUUAUUUAGAAGUCAUAUAUUUAUUACACAUUGUCAAAUUUCAGCUUUUUGUUUUUAACAACAGCUAGUAAUAUCAAACAAGACCUAAGUUGAGUAUGAUCAAUUAAUUAAAAUUAUGAUUUUUUUUUGUAUAAAAUAAUCAUUAGAUAAUUAGUCUGUAAAGAAUAUCGGCUACUUCAAAUGGAAACUUGCGAUAAAAAAUGCAUCACAAAAGUAACAAUGACACACUAUAUAAGAAAUCUGAAAUAGAAUUUGCAAAAUUGAACUGAGUUACGGAGAGUAAAUAAGACUCCAAAGGAACAUGGCAAUUAUUAUUAUCUAGGAAACAAUUCAUAGCUAAAACAAAAUUAACUAUACUUGCCAGGAAAUAUGGCGAAUUCCACCACCUCCUACAAGUUCUUAGGUGUCUUAGAGUUUGAUGACGACUUCCAUGCUGUGUCUCUUCGACAGGCAGCAAAAUUGGGCAAUUGACUACAUUAACUCCAAGAAAUUUAUGCAGUCACCUUCCUCCGGACUAUCCUCUUUCUUUGAGCUUUGGUUGCCCCUAUUUCCCCUUCAAUAGAGUCAUCACUGUUUUGUUUGAAGCCAAGGAGCCCAAGAUCAGAAAAAUGGCAUUCUUUGGUAUCAAUCCCUCGAUCCCCAAGUCACGUCACUAACUUUCUGUUGAUCGCGUAGCUAGUUCAUGUAUGCCACAGCAGCGGAAGGUAGCCUGAAGAAGAAAAAACCUCUCUCUCUUUCUUGCUCAGUAACCACCUGGGCACUUUUGUGCUGAGCCAUGACAUCCUGAGAUGGCCUGUUGUGUAAGCCUUCUUCAAAAGGUCAUCUGUCGAUCUUUCUCCUAAUUAGACAUCCAAAACCCAGCAUGGAAUCCAUUUGAGAAGGUGGACAAUAGACAAACUCCAACGCAUACAGACAGUAAAGAAGAAUUUAGACCGCAAUCACUGUGGCUGAAUAAAUGGGCCUAUUAAGCCUAUUAAAAGUUGGAACCAUAUUCACCACUCGCAGUUCCUUAGAGAACUUUAUCAGAAUUCUGAAAAUUUAAAACUAUUCUUACAUAUUUAACUGUAAAACAAGAGAAAUUGUACUUCCGUAGCAAAGUCUCACUAUUGGUAAGUAUCUGGACUUGGAAAGGAUGCUAGUUGAUUAAGUAAAGGAAAAUUGAAAUCAGACUUUGAGGUGAUAGAUCUAUAUACACUUUAAUCGGAACCACAUUAACAUCAUAUGAGCCAAACAAACAAAUUCCCCAGUCAAAGUUCAACAAACAAAACAUUAAAACAAGAGUAAUUUGGUGUAUCAAUGUAUAUAUAGAGAUGUCGAUCAUUGACAAAUACGUAAAAGAGGGAGGGAGAGACCUCAAAGCCGUGCUUAACAACAUUGCUACUCCAAUAACUUCAAAAUGGUUGGCGACGUCUCUAUCAAAGCCACACAAUAGCUGAUAUCUCAUGUUUGCAUGUAGUCCAAUGAAAGCACCAUAACCAAGAACAUUAGUACUCACAGAUGGGUUUGUCACAGAUAACCUGUCAGGCAAUAAAAAUUGCCCAAAUUAAACAAAUGUUAGACCGGCUUAGACAGUAAACGGAACAAUAUUCUAAUUUUACUUUAUUUAUAACGAAUAAGUGAACAAAGGAAUGAAAAGGAAGUUUGGCAACAGUCUUUUUACCAGCCAGAUAGUUUGACAAAGAAUCUUGCACUGCUCCUGCAGCUAAUCCCACCAUACACAACUCUGCAGUCUUGUUUGGGAGUCAAAAUUCUCAAAAUGGGUAACUCUGUUCAAAUAUACUGUUUGGGAACUUUUGUAAUGUAUUUUGCAAGUCAAACAGGAAGGUAUUUCCAUAAGAAGGUUCACUUCACAUGCUCAACAAUUCAAAUUUGCGGAUGAUAUUUCUCAAAAUGGAGGGCUCUAUUUGGCUUGCCAACAAUCUUCCUCACCAUUAUCAUCCUUGCUAUACCGGUUAAACUGAACAGUCUUCAUUCUGACAUUUGCCCUAUUAACCUGAGUACACAAGAAUCCGAAACAACUGUUAGAAAUUAUAAUCUUUAUAUAUAGCCAAAAUGUUGAAUAAGAUGAUGUACUUGAUAAUAAAUACCUGAGUUAAUAAAUAAUUAAGGGGCCGGUAACAAUGUCAGCAUCUUAUCAAGUGGGGAAAGCCUACGCAACGAAGAUGCUGCCUGCUUUCAAGAAAUAAUAACUUUCCAAUUCCAUAAGGUAGGUUAAUGCCCUUUUAAAAAUAUCUCCACCAGCCUAACAAUUAUUCAUUGAAAUGUGUGAGUGUGAAUUCGAACGAAUUAAUCAAAUAUGAUGACACGAGAAAGAAAAUUAAAAUAACCACAAGAAGUAGAAAUAUACUUUUGUUAUAUUUAGUGCAUCUUCUGUGUGUGCUCAAACGCAAUGCCUCAAGGCGCAAGAUAAUUUUAUGACCAUCAAUCUUUUGCAGCCAUAUGCAGACUUGAAACAUUGGCGGUGGUUCUAAGGAACUUGAAAAUUAGAAAAGUUUCAAAAUGAGUGACUAAAUAUGAUAAUCGAAAUUAAUUAAAUAUACACGCCUUGUAAAUAUGAAACUAAAUUACUCAAAUGUAUGUGCCUCUUCGCAGCAAUUGCUCGUGGUGGAAACUUUACUGCAAAGACUUCCUCAAACCCUUGAAGAUCACACUCUUCCUGGCAACAAAGAAACAGAGUCGAUAUACGAAGAUGAUUUUACUAACAAGUGAGAGCUUGCAAAUAUUGGAAGGAUAACGAUUGCUCAUAACCCAAAUCCCCAAUACCCUCUAAUAUCUCACUCGAGUGAGUUCAAGCCCCCAAAAUUCACUACAGUGAAACUCUCGAAACAAAAUUCUCUUCAAAUAUUCUCAACUCAAAUUUGAUAAUGAUAUCUCUUGAAGGAAGGCAAAAAAUCUAACACUGAUCAAAUUGGCUUGUGAACAAUUAAUGUUCCUGGCCAUCAUUCAUACUAGGUGUGGCGAACAAUUAAGCUGCUUAGUAUCCUGAACCUGAUAACUUACACAAACAAAAACAACUUGCCUAAAGUUUAAUAUUUAGAGGCAGAACGGUAAAGAAGAAGAUAUAUAUUGAUACUAAAAUUUGACUUGCGUUACCCUGAUGUCAAGAAUAGCGGGAUCUCAUGUGGGCAAAAUCUUCGCAAUACGAGAUGCUUGCAAAAUUGAAGCAGCAUCUUAUCACCUGUAAUUUAAUUAAGAUAAUAACUUUCCCCGACUAUUUCAAUGCAUUAUUGGCAACUAAAUUCAGAGGGCGCUAAUUAAAUACCCUUUUAACAAUAUCUUCUUAUUCUUCUCUAAUCUAGCAGUUAUUUGGAAAAUCUAAAUGACAGUCAUGCAUCAAUGGCGUCAAAAUUUGGCUACAAAGCAGCCUACAAAAGGCUUCACCCUCUGAAUGAGAGCAUGAAUUCGAAUAAUAUGAUGAAUGAAGAAACAAAGGCAUAAUACCACAAGAAGUCAAACUUUUCCCCAGAGCUCUGUUUCUGUUUGUGCUAAAGCAAAUGGAAACCAGUGGAAAUGAAUUUCUAUGAACUAGACAUAUCAGCCAAAACAGGUACUCUGUGCAAGCAAAGUAAAAAAGAGUUACAAACAAAUUUAAGAUUGAUAUGAUAAUUAAAAUUUCAGUCACCAUAUAAUUAAUAGAAAACUUUGUACACAAUGAUUUAUUGCAUAUUAAGAUUGUAUACCUAAAUUUUAAUUGCUAUGCAAAAUAUGAUAUUAGCAUUAGGAGACCGCACCAAAACGUACCGUAUUGAAUGUGCCUUUUCACAACCAUUGUACAAGCUUUGAAGCUUUGGCACAAAUGCUUUUUCAAACCCAUGAACAUGAUGCACCCGAGAGAUGCAAGAUAUGAAAUUGUUACAACAGCAGGCAUUGAAACAUUUGUUAAGAAAGGAAGUUUAUGAAAAUACGCCUUAACAUUCAUUAGAUACAUGUCUUCAGGAAUCAAUUCAUCUGUAAUAACAAUUUUCAAAGAGCAUUAACUGCUUUAAGCCCCUCAACAUCACAGAGAUCUUCAAUUAAAAUAGCGCAGAUCCGGCCAUCACUAUUACUUCUACUGCUCUUUCGCUUUAGAGAACGCUUGAAUUACAGAAUGCAUGUAAGGCUUUCUUGUUUAAGGUCCAGCAAACCUUGCACAAUAACAACAGAGGCAGUGGUUCCAUUGCCAGCCUAAUCCUUGGUCUCACCAAUGUUCUGCACGAGUAGGAAAUCAACCUUAAAAUUAAGAAUGAGUUGCAAAAACUGUUUAUGGCCCUAAAGAACUUGAAAAUCGGAAAUGAUUAAGAAUGAGUGAGUAAACAUUUUAAUCGAAUAAACAUACAAAACUUGAAAACCUAACAUUGAAGUACUCUGAAUGAAUGUGCAAUUGCACGAGCUGGUGACAACUGACUUUACUGCAAAGGCUCUUUCAAACCCUUGGAGAUGAUAAAAAUAAAAAUGCAAUGCUUGAGCUUGAGCUUGAGCUUGUUUUAACAUCAUCAUAGUAGGGAAUUUUGAUAUAUCUUUACUUCUCUGUGGUUCAAUCAUUUACUUCUCUGUUCUUGUUUAUUCACAACAAGAUAUCAAUAGAAGAAGAUGGAAAUGAAAUUCUAUAAAAUAAAGCAAGUGAAUUACCAGCAGAACAUUUUAGCAAUCCUUUGGCUAAACUUUUCAUUUUCUUAGCAUACUCUCCUGCCUGCAUCAUUAAAACCAAAUUAGAUUGGACCUGUGAAUUGCUAGUGUGGUUCUGACAUUUCCUCGAAUCCCUGGUGAACAUAAUUAAACGCGUAUGAAAUAAAACAAAGUGGGCUAAUGUACUACUAAAAACAAUUACACAAUUACUUUAAAGAAUUAAUGUCACAUAAAUUAUAUAUAAAAAAAUAAGAUUAUCAUUAUACAAGAUAAAAUUGAUAAUUUAUUUUUCAACAUUACUGCAAAUGUAUUACAGAGAUUUUGUCUCUCAGGAAGUUACACAUAACAAAUUUUCGUACAUUAAAAAAUAAAUUACAUUGGGAUUUUCUAUGAUGUUGUAUGCAAUUUUACAAAAGAGCACAUAUUUUUUAAAAGUAAAUAAAUAUAGAAAUUUAAACAGACUACACUUGUAUUUUUUUAUUAUUUAAUCUUUAGAAAACAAGUUUAACAGAAUUGAUAACUAGGAAGUUUUACAUAUUAUUUCAUUGCAAGCAACAACGAAGUAAAUCAGAGGAGGAGGAGAAAUUACCGGCGAGUGAUAUCUUACGGCUACCACGUGAUGUGGGGAAUGUGAGAUAUCUUCUCCUUUCCCCUCUCUAUGACGGUUUUCCAAAAGGGGACAUCCCCAAAUUGUCAAUUUCUGCAGCGUCGUCGUUCGAAGGAGGUAAUCCGGCAGCACCUUUAAUUUGGGGCAAUCCCCAAUUAGCAGGGAAGAAAGACGUGGUAUGUCUGUUGUCCUGCGAUCUUCUAGAAUGGGCAGUUCUUCCAAAUUUUUACAAGAAUAAAUACUCAGUUCCUGCAGCGUCGUCGUCCGAAGAAGGUAAUCCGGCAGCACCUUUAAUUUGGGGCAAUGCUCAAUUUCCAAGGAAGAAAGACGUGGCAUGAUGGAGAUGUUUUCCUUCCUCGUAAUCCUGUAAUUCCACUCUUCCAAUUCAUCCAAGAACCAAAUUUUGAGAGAUUUCAAUUUGGGGAAGGCAAUAACUGAUGAUGACGAUGAAGAUGAAGAUGAGUCGUCCUCACCGCUUUCUUUUAUUCCCAAAAACUCAUUACCCACUCUUUUUACACUUUUCAAAUUGCAUAGGAUGAGUUUUUCCGGAGGCAAUUUUCCCAAAGGAGGCAAAUGCUCACAGUUAAAACACAAGGAAAGAUAUAAAUUCCUUAGAUUGGUUAGUAAAGUCAACCAUUUGGGAAAAAUGACGCCUCCAUAGGAUUCAAUCCCUAAUUCCUCUACAUUCAAAGGCGGUUGUAAGGCUUCAAGAAGUUGUUUAUCUUUCUCGUUCUUCCUCCUCCCUUCUUCGCCUUCCCCAUCUACGACUCCACCAAACACAAGACGCAAACGAAGGAGGUUUUUCUUAUUGUAAAGUUGUAACCUCUCAACCUCAUCUACAUGCGAUACAUUACUCAGCCCUUCUAUACUACAUUUACCACGGAGUUGAAGAUUUUUCAGAGAUUCAAGCCUACAUGUGCUGCCGCCAUCAACACCUCCACCCACAACAAACUUUUCUAAUGUUCGAAGGCUGGUCAAUCUGGAAAUCCCUAUUGGAAACUCCUCAUGUUCUUUAACUUCCCAAUCCCGGCUGGCAAUUCUCUAAGAUAUUUGCACCGCCUAAUAUCUAGCUUUUGUAAAUUAUAUAAUUCACACAAAGUCUCAGGUAGUCUCGCUAUAUAUAAUUUAGACAACUUAAGAUAUUAAGAUAUUUUAAAUGUAUCAAUUUUCCAACAUUAUUUGGAAUUUCUGUAAUCCAAUUUGUGCCUUCAUACAAAAGCUUGAUCGAUUGCCUUAUAACUAAUGCCCUUAAACAUGCCAAUUUAUUAAAUAACUCCCGAAGGAUGCUAUUAUUAAGAGACGGAUUGAAAAAACCUUCAUCAUAAAUUAAUAGGGUACGCAAUCUAUUAAGUCCAUAAAUGGUCAUAGGAAAUGAAGCUCCUCCUCCAAAAUUUAACCGUAAGUGACGGACUUUGUCACCAAAAAAUUUUAUGACUGAUUCCUUGGUACCAUUAAUUUCUAGCCACAAACAUUCUUUGCUACUUACAAAUUGGGCAAAAUCAUGUACUAUGUCAUGCAUCUUACAACUCGUGAAAUCAUCAUCGUCCUCAUAUAUUUUAAACUCUUGAAAGAAAGAGUGUGUUGCUAAGAUGUUGAAAUACUCUUCUCCAAUCAUCUCCAUUUCUUCGUCUUCUUCUGCAUUAAGGUAACCUUGAGCCAUCCACAGAUCAAUCAACUCCUCUUUAUCCAUCACGUAGUCUUUUGGAAAGACAGCACAAUAUGAGAAACACCGUUUUACCAUAGAAUUGGAGGGCAAAUCGUUAUAACUCAACAACAAAGGAGCCAAAAGACCUUGCCCAAUCUCUUCUACUUUCCACAUUUCACUCUCUAAAAUUCUUUGCCACUCUUUUACUGUACUUUUAGAGCGCAAGAGAUUCCCUAUUACCUUUGCAGCAAGAGGCAGGCCUUUGCACUUACAUGCAAUUUUUCGCCCGAUUGGUUCUAAUUUUUCACAAUCCUCAAAAGAACGACCGAAAAAUGCUAACUGCUUGAACAAUGACCAGCAUUCCUCUUCAACCAAUUGCUUGAUGGAGAUAAUAUUUGUUGAUCCCAUCAUACGUGCAACUAACUCAUUACGUGUGGUAACCAAAAUUUUACUUCCGUGGAGACCAUUUUUUAGACAACGGAAGAAUGGUUGCCAUUUAUUGUAAUCCCCAUCCCAUACAUCAUCUAAGACAAGAAAAUUUUUUUUUCCUUUAAUUGAACUCUGGAUACGGCUCAUAAGAGAUUGGAAUUCGUUUAAACCAGAAGCUGACUUCCCUAGACCUUCAAUGAUUGCUUUGGCAAUCCUAAUCUGAUCAAAAGUGUCCGAUACACACACCCAUAUAACUUUUUCAAAAUUUCUUUUCACCUCAUCAUUAUUAUAGGCUAGUUGUGCAAGAGUGGUUUUACCUAUACCCCCUAACCCAACCAGUGAAAUGACCUGAAGGCCAUUUUGUUGUUCACUACUUUCACACAACAACUUGCUUAAGAGCUCACUUUUCUCAUCAACCCUACCGCAAACCUCUCCCUCAUCAAUCAAGGACGUGGUUCGCACUCUCUCUGGUUUCUUAACAUUGUUACUCACAUUCUCAACUAAUUUGAAACUAUCUUUUUGUCUGGCAAUAUCAUCUAGCUUUUCACUGAUUUCUCUAAUCUUGACAGCAAUAUCAUGACGAAGACUGAGUUGUUUGAAACCACCAAAGCAGUUUGAGGCAGCAGGAAAGAAGAAACAUACCUUCGUCAAAAAAGUAACAAAAGCACCGUCGUUAUCAUCAUAAUCAUCAUCGCCUCCCUCAUCAAGCUGCAAUUUCCGUGUUUCAGUGAUCCACUCUUCCAACACAUCUUCCAUGUCGUAGGAUGCGUCUCUGAGCUGAUCCAGCCAAAAAGUAACAGCUUUGUCCUGCUUCAUUUGCCUCUGCUCUGCAUCUUCCAGCACAGCUUGAAUGGCUUGAAGAUUGGUGGUAAGCUUUCCCACUUCUUGUUCGACACCCGUCACAAGCCUCCACUUUUCUUUCACCUGAUCUUGAGCAAUGGAUUUCAGCUGGUCCAGGAGAGGGGAAACGAUCGCAUGAGCCAUUCUGAUAUUAGAUCAAAUGGUAAAUGCUGCAAUUGCUUUUCUUUCUAAACUGCUCAGAGGAAAGUAGCUUUUAUGUAUUCUGUGAGAAU